AUUUAAUGUGAAUGAGAGGAGGAGGCGAGUGCAGGCUGGUUUAUUGUGCUGUAACCAAAGCAUAGACACAGCAGCACUCAGAGCUGGGAACAUGCAGUCUACAGGAGGCUGAGUGGGGCUUCCAUAACUGAGCGGAGGGUUUUGACAGUGGAGAGGACAAUUCUAUAACAGUAGAGUGGAGGAUUCCACAACACUGGAGUGAAAGAUUCUAUACAGUAGAGUGGAGCCUUCUAUGACAGUGGAGAGGACACUUCCAUUAUAUUGGAGUAGAGGCUACUGUGUGAGCUGCCUGGUUGGUUGAAAUAACCUUUCUCCUGCAUGGUAAGUUUAUGGUGGCAGUAAUGGGGUAGGAUGUUAAAAGUGCUUUAAUCUAGAGGAUUGAUGAGUCCUGGGUCUGGCUAUUACAGGGUUAAACAUGUGGACACCUGCUGUAAUCUUACUGACUUUUGUUAGAUAUUUUUUCUCUCUCUAUGUACAUCACAUGGAAUACCCCUACACAUGCUUUGUCAUGCAGUGUUACUGUGCAAUGUGCAGAAAUCCCAUUAUUUUGUGUGUGUGUUUUUAUAAUAUGUCUGUUUUAAAGAGCUUGCAAGCUAGUGACCCAUUACUUAUUGGACCAGCCUUCCCCGAGCUGAGAAAUUAUGGUGAAUUUGGUGAUUAUCAUUAUUAUACUUUAUUACUUUAUCAUUAUUAUACUUUAUUGUUAUUAUUUAUAGAGCACCGUCAAAUUCCGCAGCGCUUUACAAUGGGUGGACGAACAGACAUGUAGUUGUAACCAGACAAGUUGGACACACAGGAACAGAGGGAUUGAGGGCCCUGCUCAAUGAGCUUACAUGCUAGAGGGAGUGAGGUAAAGUGACACAAAGGUAGGGAUAGUAUUAGACUAGCGACAGUUGUAGAAGAGGAAUCAGUCAGGAGCUAUUAACAGUUUAAUUGAUACGCUUUUAUGAAGAAGUGGGUUUUUAACGAUUUUUUGAAGGAGUGGAGACUGGGUGAGCAUCUAAAGGAGGAGGGAAGUGAGUUCCACAGGAACGGUGCAGCCCUCGAGAAAUCUUGAAGGUGAGCAUCAGAGGUGGGAGUACGGACAGAAGAUAGACGUAAGUCUUCAGCAGAUCGUAAGGGCCUAGACGGGACAUACUUGUGUAUAAGGGAGGAUAGAUAGGUGGGAGCAGCAUUAUGUAGAGAUUUGAAAGCAAGAACCAGCAUUUUAAAUUGAGCUCUAUAUUUUAUAGGUAGCCAAUGUAGGGACUGACAGAAGGGUGAGGCAUGGGAGGUGCGGGCGGACAGGAAGAUUAGCCUCGCCCCCGCAUUCAUUAAUGACUGUAACGGCGCAAGUUGGGAGUACGUAAGACCACUGAGAAGCGGAUUACAGUAGUCAAGGGAAGAAAGGACAGUGGAAUGGACCAACACCUUAGUCGUAUCUGGCGUUAAGUAGGGUCGGAUGCGUGCAAUUUUUUUGAGAUGGAAGUUACUUUAUAACUUUCACUCGUGUGCUUAUUGAUGUGACAAUUCUGCAGUUCCAAGAUGUUCUGCAGCAGCUGUGAUCUCAUGUUUUACAUGACACCUCCAUUCUUUCUUGUGUCACAUUGCCAGCAAUAUGUAUACAUCUCUCCUGAAAUUGUAUUGAGUGACCAAUUGAUUUGACAGUUAUAGUGCCCCUAGUGGUAACUGGUAUGUUAGCGCAAUGAGAUUUGUUUACAGAAGUGCCAUGAAAGUGAUGUUUUCCAUUUUGAUAGAUUUUUUUUCAUGCAGUAUUUCAUUUGGAGAACUAACCACUGAGCUGCAUUUAUCCUGAUAAAAGUGCCCAUGUUGACAAUUGCCCACUGGUCUCAUUCCCUGCCCAGGACAAUAAAUGAAGAGUCUGUGUGUGCCCACCCACUGCGUGCCAUUCUAGACUAACUGGGUUCAUUCAUUAAACGAAUGACAUCAGGAGUGGGAGUGGGCGGUAAUUACUGUCACUGUGCCCUCGUGUUACUUGGUAAUGAUGGAGCAAGUCGUUCGUUUAUUUGUUUGGUUUUUCCAAAAGGAUCUAUAUUAACACAAAGUUAACCCCAAAGUGCAAAAUUCACAAACUGGGGGUUUAUUAACGUCCUAGCCUUGGGGGUGAUUACGGUAAAUGGCCAGCUUCCCACUCAGAUAAAUUUAUGUAGAACAAACUGGUCACUGGUAUAAAUAAAAGAGCCAUUAAAUAAAUAAUUUAGGUAAUCAUCACUCACCAUAUGAAACACACUGUGAUCUGUCAAUGUUUAAUGGCAAACAGGCACUAAGUAACAAAGUAUAACAAUAUAACCCUUAGUCUGAUUAACUCACUUUUAUUGGAGAUUAAUACACACAUGUCUCAUGGUUCCAUUGGAGAUUAAUCUGCUAAUUCUAAUUAGAAAAUAAAACACAGGAGAGAGGGUUCACUCACGAUUAUGGAUAGAUAGAUAGAUAGAUAGAUAGAUACAGAGAGAGAUAGAUAGAUAGAUAGAUACAGAGAGAGAUAGAUAGAUAGAUAGAUAGAUAGAUAGAUAGAUACAGAGAGAGAUAGAUAGACAGACAGAUUGAACGCAAUGUACUUGUUAAGCACCAUCUGUGCUGCGGCUCAUUAAAGUGGUUAUGGUGCUACGCUCACAUUUGGUUCAUUGUUCUGAAAGAGGUUUACUAAACCCUGGGCUCAUUCCCAGCUUCUCGACUCUCCUGAAACCAAUUCAAUAAUGUGGAAGAUUCACUUUACAGAACCAUCCAACAUUCCACAGCAGAAACAGGCUGGGAGUGAUGGGAUAACCUGAUCCCCAGCGCUUAUAGCCUGAUAUUUCCAUCCAAGGAUGGACAGUUUUAGAUAAAUAACACGUAUGUGAAUACUCAGCAUUAUACAAGCAGCUGCUGAAAGUGUUAUUAGAUCUUUCCACGGUGGGCCCCCAAAGACACACAGAACCAUAACCACUACAAUUAGCAGUGAGUGUCCCUUUAAGUACAACGCAUUAUCUACCUGUUUGUCUUAUUUACUAGAAAUAAACUUUAUGAAGGGAAUAACACAUUCUCCUUGCAAAAGAAAAAAAAAAACACAUUUUGUUUAAUUUAGCCAUGGCUGUCCUUAAUUUAAAAAUGAUUUUCCUUUAAAUGCUCAUCACAGAAUAUUCAUUGUUAUUUUCGUAUUCGUUCCGUUAUAUACAGAUGGUUUCUUGAUGAACAAUGAGUUGUUACAUCCAAUUUCAAUGAAACACAUUAAGAUUUGUUUGUGUAUUGUAAAUAUUAUCAAUUUGUAUUACGCCAACAUUUGUUAAGGGUUUGUAUUUACCUAAAUAAAUACACAAAAUAACAUAAACUGAAUUUCAAAGAUAAGGGACACAUCUGUUCAUUGAAACACUAUUAAAACGAGGAAGUCAGAACUUAAUUCAUUUUUCCCUAAAUAAAUGGCUUAAUUCCCUUGCUCUGUAAUUAUCAAGUCAUAGCUUUAUUCUUACAGAAUGACAAUAAAAAAAUGUUCGAUAAACAGAAUUAUAAUGCGUGUUCGUUGUGACUUAUAUCAUGCCUCUAAACUGUUUGUAAUGUUUACGGUGCUCAAGCAUGGCACUGACUUGUUCUUUCCAUACUUGCUGCCGAAUCCAUAUAAUAAACUCCGUAAUUAAGCUCAUUAUUAUUAUUAUUAUUAUCGCCAUUUAUAUAGCGCCAACAGAUUCCGUAGCGCUUUACAAUAUUAUGAGAGGGGGGAUUUAACUAUAAAUAGGACAAUUACAAGAAAACUUACAGGAACGCUAGGUUGAGGAGGACCCUGCUCAAACAAGCUUACAGUCUAUAGGAGGUGGGGUAUAAAACACAAUAGGACAGGAUUGUCAGCUUGGACCAUGCUGAGUUGAUGUUUCACAUCGAAAAGCAUCUUGAAACAUGUUUCUAUGAACAUGAAUUGAAUUUAUUGCAGCUGAAGUUUAUGGAUGUCCCAGAGGGCUUAGCUCCUCAAAACUCAGCAGUGUUGCCUAUGCACUGAGACAGUAUUUCAUUUGAUAAUAUAAGCUAUAUCUGAUGAAUUUUGCUGUCGUUUAGUCUCAAUACCCUAUCUCUUUAAGUGAGGAGAGUUGAACCCAGUAGACUUUAAUUAAGUUUUGUUUUUUUUUGCUGCAGAGUCCCAGAAUCCAGAUAAUUGUUUCGCAAUAAAAUAUUUUUUUCCUGCGAACGAACUUUAUUAAAAUUUCCAUAGUUGAUCAAUUUUCUAAAAUAGCAGAAAAUGAAAAAUGUAAAAAAAAAAUAAUAAUAAUUUAUGGCAAUUGUUAAACAAAAUAAAAAAUUAAAAUUCAAAACUCAUCACAUGCUAAAGAAAGUAAUCUGUAAUCCUCUAACUAUUGGGAAAUUUAACUCCCAAGGUCAAUUGACAACCAUAGAAGUUUCUCACAAUAAACCCCCCGGUCACUUCCCUGUUGAUAGCUUAAGAGGAAUUUCCCAAUUUUGAAUAAGCAACUAAUCUACCCAGUGAAUUGGGUUCAGUUUCCAGCUUAGGUAAUGCAGGUGUAUUGACCCAGCAUUCAAAAAUUUGCUUCAUAAAUGAACGAGUAUCUUUCAAGGAAAACAUUUGUUAAAGGAUCACGAUAGUGUCAGGAAAACAAAUCGGUUUUCCUGACACUAUAGUACCCUCAGGGUGCCCCCACCUUCAGGGUCCCCCUCCCGUGGUGCUUCAGUUACUCACCUUCUUCCACCGCCGUGCUCCCCUACCUCUCCUCCCCCGCCGACAUCACUGGAGCAGAAUGCGCAUGCACGGCAGUGCAGCGCGCGCAUUCAAAGUGUUCAUAGGAAAGCAUUUUUCAAUGCUUUCCUAUGGACGCUCUGCGUGAUGAAGGCAUAAUAUGCCUCCAGCGUCACAGAUGCGCCUCUAGUGGCUACUAGAGGCUGUCUUAACCCCAAAUGUCUUAACCCCAAAUGUAAACAUAGCAGUUUCUCUGAAACUGCUAUGUUUACAGUAGGCAGGGUUAACCCUAGAGGGACCUGGCACCCAGACCACUUCAUUGAGCUGAAGUGGUCUGGGUGACUAUAGUGUCCCUUUAAACUUCCUCAUACUUCAACUAUUAAACAUUAUGUGAGGAUCCUUCAUUUUAUAGAUCUUUCUAACUCCUUCAUUAGUGAGUUUGUUAUAAAAUAUAUGUUCAUUUUAAUAACUUUCGGAACACAUUCAUGGUUCUCAAAGGAGCAGAUUAGAGACUGAUUCCUCUUGGGUGGUAGAUCGUCUGAGUUCCUUACAUAGAAUUAGUAAAUACACAGAAAAUAACAGAAAAAAACUUAAGGAGAUACCUGCAAAUAUAAACCAUAUUAAAAGAUAGCUUUUGGGUUUGUUUUUUCAUUAAUUUAAUUAAAGCUUUUUAAAUCGCUCAAAUCCUGCAAUAAAUCUUACAGGUUCAGAAAAAGGAACAUAAAUAGGUAAAUGAUUGAAGCGAAAGUUGUGAGGUUCUCCGACAGUACCGAAAAAAGGCAGUAAUGCAAUCACAGACCAGGAACACUAAAGCAUUAGACAUGCAAACCUGCAGAAAUGUUUUACUUACCUCUCUGCCUCCUGCGACAUCAUGGAUUUAUGGCUACACUGGCGCAGGUGCCCUUCCCAAAAUAUGAAUCUUCACCUAUCUUUCUUUUAACCCACCUUUUGCAUUUCUUUCCCCUUUUAUUGUAUCUUACCCCCAUUUUUAAAAUGUUUGUGUUUUACACUCCCCUUUGUGUGUCUCGUUCCCCCCACAGUCCCUGUUUGUGUCUCUUUCUCCCCCAACUUCUUUGUGUGUCUUCCCCCAGCCCCCUUGUUUGUUUCUUUCUCCCUCCCCCAACUUAUUUUGUGUCUUUCUCCCCCUUCCCAACCUCUUUGUGUCUCUAUCUUCUCCCCCCCGCCCCCCCCAGCUCCUGCAUGUGGCUUUCUCCGUGAGAUCAUCUCAUUCUACCCCCCACCCUCCUUAUGUUUGUACCGGCCCUACCUUCCUCCACCAUGGUCCAAUUCUGAUGGGCAUGCUCAGCAAGUGCUGCACUGAUCCAAGCUUAUACACAGGAAAGCAUUCGAUUCAAAGGAUGAGCAAACAUGCUUUACACUUUUCAUGCUUAUUCGUCCUUGAUAAUAGAGUGAUAUUAGGGCAAAUAAAGCCAUUUUAGAACAGUUUGACCUCUUACAUGGGUUCACCAAGCGCUGCUCCCCACCUACUCUACAUCCCCUCUUGCUUAGGAGCUUCCUUAUCUGUGCUGGGCUAAUAACUGCAGUCUAGGACAUAUUGUAAGAACUUUAAUUAUUACAUGUGUGCACUAUUCACAAUUGUAUUAUAGUACCUUCAUAAGUCAUCACAAAUUUUAAUUGUCUUAAAGACACAGGGCACCCUUUUUAAAAUGUUAUUUCUAGAACUUUGGCUAAGAGCAUCAUCUGAUCACUCCCUGCAACUCCAGUCUCAUCUCACUGAGCAGUGGUAGAGCCAGGGAGUGCCAGCCAAUCAACUCUAAAAAAGGGGUGACAGAGCCAGUCUGUCUGGUGAGAGACCUGUUAGAGAGGUUUGUGUCAUGUGAUAUUCUUGUGAGACUUCACGUUUUGAAUUCUAGGUAUAAAGCAUCCAAAAAUGCUUUCAAAUUAUAAGUUAUGUAUGUAAUAAUAAUGUCUACAUAUUGUAAAAACAGUUGCCUGGUUACAAGCAAGCUUUUGUUGCAACCUGCACAAAAACCCUGCAAUGUGCCUGGAGCCCUUUUUUUUAACUGCUGCCUUGUAACUCUUUCAAUAUCGUUCCUUGAAUGCACCAGGUGAGGGGUAUGUCAUUCAGAGUGUCUCUGUGAGAGGGACUCCCCGAAACUCAGUUAUUUAGAAUUAGUUGAAGAUUACUACUGGAGCAGAAGGGAAGUAACAUUAGUUUUAAUUUUAACAAAAUUAAUUUUGCAUUAAAAGUAAAAAGGGGUAACCUUUUUUCAGGCAUGCUUCCUCAAUAUCAGUCUUUUAGUCAAAUUCUUCUAAUACUAAACAUCUAUUUAAUAAAUAUUAUUCAUGUAGACAUUUCCUAUACAAUUAUAUUAAUGUCUAAAUUUAAAUUGCCACAGAAGCGGCACUGUUUGUAUGAUAUGCACCCACUGAAUGUAUGUACUACGUGUUGAAACAACUGUUUCCUACAUUGUAUAACUUGUAAAGAUUUUUACGGUGUAAUUCCUGGAAUUAUCUUCUGUAAAACAGUCAAAAUUAAGUUUCACUCUAUAAAGAGUUUUGUAGGAAAGAAAUUUUACUGUAAACCACUGCAUAAAAUUCUGGAAAUUUUUUGUCGUCAGUAUUAGAAACAUUUAUAUAUAUAUUUAUUUUUAAUUUUAAUGACAAAUUAAUAGUUUUCAGCUACAGAUGGCUGUCUGCAGAGGGUUAAAUGGUUGAAAUAUCAGUUUAUUGUAAACCAAUGUUAAACAAUCCAAGAGCAAUGAAUGGAAAGAGAGACGGCAUUGUUAUUCUAAGAAAUCCGCUGAUCAGCUUGAAAAUGAAAACAUUCGUUUCAGUUUAGUAAAUAUCCUCCAUGGGGAAAAUCUGUGAUUAUAAGAGGGGUCAGCUGCUUAGUGACACAAAAAAACAGGACUGUCUUAGGAAAUCUAUGGCAGUUGUCACAUAUGCCUCCAGAAUUUGAUGUAAUCUCCAAAUUGAUCUCUCUAGCAUCCAAAUACUGUAUAGUGUUAUAUUGUCACAGAUGACCAAUUGGUGCUAUGCGAUAUGUGUGGUUUAAUCUAGUGUGCAAGGUUUAGUUUAGACUGCGUGACCUCCCAAUAGGAGUUAUCACAGGAAGUCAUAUAUAAGUUGGGGGAUAAUGUAUGGAAAACAUGUAAAUAACUACUGUCACGCAGUGAUGUAAGCACAGAUCUAAGGGGUGUAUAAAUUGGGAAGGUCGGAACAGUUUAAGCAUUUAGUUCUUUGAGAGCUUAAGAGGUAGUGCCUUAUCUUACAGUUCAUACGGACACUUAGCACACAGAAAGAGGUAUGUACGUGAAUGUGUGUGAUUAUAAUUGUGAACAUAUAUAGCUACAAAAAAAAUAGUCAAAUUGUUAUAUAGUGUAAUAAUGUAUUACAAUGUAUAUGUAUGAUGGUAUAUACGUACGUAAUGCACAUUUAUAUGCGUGUUGAUAUUUACAUAUUAAUGAUUAUAUUUAAAAAUUUUAUUACAUACAUGUUGGUAUGUUGUGGGGAAUGUAUCUAUGAUGUAUGCGUGGCCAUAUAUGUAGGAAUUUCUAUACAGCAGUGAUAUGAUACAGAAAUGCUGUUACAGAUCAUUGUAUUAGGCCACGUUCAGCCUUGGGAACCAUGUUUCAGCCCGGUGUAAAGUGCAGUGUGUGCGCAUGCACGUGCAAUAUAUGUGAUGUUGUGCGACACUGUAAAAAGGUAAAACAGCGAGUCAGGUGAGCAGGCAGGUAGAGGUACAUUGUAAACGAUCAGGGAAGGAGUCUGCCCGUCAGCAGAUAAUGGGAGUUUGUUCAGUUUGUAGAAUUGUUAGUUUUUAUGUUGCUUUGAUUUACCGGCUCAUUCUGCCUCUAUUUGUGUGCUGUAAAAAAAAUGCAUAUUGUGAGAUCAUAUAUAAUGCAGACACGAAGGUGAACGUAAUACUAAAGGAAUUUAUAAAUAUGAUUAUUACAUCUCUUCUUUCAGAGUACAUGCCCUGACUAUCACUAAUUCAUAGCCCCUUUCAACUUCUGUCUCUACUGGCGUGUCUCUGGCCCUUUCAUCAAUACUUCUCACUCGCUGAUUGUCCUCCAAAUCUCUUCUUCUCUAUCAAUCAAUUUUUCUUUAUCUCACUCCCCUCUCUCUAUCUCUACAUCUGUGCCACUCUCUCUGUCCCUUUCUCCAUCAUACCAUUUUCUAACUCACAAUGUCUCUCACUCCUGGUUACCAAUCUGUCUCCAUUCAUUUCUCCCCAUGUCUAUCCCCCUCAUAAAACUUAUUUUCUCUCCAUUGCUACUAUAAGUUUCUUUUUCUCUAUUUCUACCAUUCGUUUCUUUCUCUCCAUUUCUAACGCUAUCGUAAACUCCUAUUUUGUGUCUCCCAAUCUCUACCUGUCCUCCUCUUUCAUUCUGUUUGUGCCCAUCUCUAAUUCUCUCCAUCGCUCCUUUUCCAUGUCCAUCAUUUUCUCCCUCGUUUCUUUCCCAUUGUGACCAACCAAUAUCCCUCAAUUGUUCUCGUUCUCAAGCUAUUUAUUCCAUUUCUCCCUCUUACUCCAAAAUGCACAUCUAAAACCCCACUGUCCUCCUGUCUUCUUAACUUUAACCCACUCUCUCCCUCUCCAUUUUAUCUCUCUACCCUUCUCUCACCCUUUUCCAUACACCCCCUUUUAUCAGCAAUUUACUCUUCUGUAAUAUCAAUUAUUCUGUUAUUUAUCACUAUUUAGUUUUCCUAAUCAUUAAUAUUAAAAUAGAUUUUGCAGUAACAUGAGGAUCCUUUAGACCUUGUUUAAAGGACGCACCCACGAUGUGUUCUUAGGAUCACUGGGAUAAAAUGUCACCAAAGGCAAAGCAAUGCAUAGAAUUUUAUUUAGCGCCGUAUCUAUUACAGGUGGAAUCAGGUACAGAAUUACCUAGCAAGGAAGUAGAAAAAAACAAAACAUUGUUGAAAUGAAAGAAGCUUUUUAAUUCUAUUGCUUCACUUUCCGACUGCAAUGACAUUCGAGCGAGUAGCUCGGAAAGAUUUGUAAACGAAAGUUUGCAUUUGUAAAACCUCGGUAAGCACUCAGUAUAACUGGAACUGUUCCCAGAUCCUGCACACUGAGAAUGCUGAGUGAUACACUGUCUACUUGCAAUCAGGGUAUGCAGUAUCCCCAAUGGAAUUAUGGAACAUUUAAACUCGUUGUUUGAGGCGUCCAGAAACCAGUCUAAUGGUUUCUCAGUAUGGCUAUUAAGCCGGGAUAAUUCAUGAUUCACUAUUACGGAAUGUGUUCUGGGAUUAGCUGCUGCUGUAUGUGCAGUCACUGGAUUGUAGUGUCGUAUUUAAAAAAGAUUACUCACUACAAACAUUGAAAUUAAACACAUAAACAAGCAUGCGGUAUUAUAUCUUUAGCUGUUGCUACGUGUUCUGCAAAUACAUGUUCUAUUUUAACUGCUGUAUGCUUUCUUUCAAGUAACACGCAAACGUAAAAACGUAAUAUGUUUAUUUUCGAUGUUAGAAUGUCCCUUGUUCUAUUUAAUUUACUGCUCCCCUCCCUCCCUUACCUUUUAAAUGAAGAAAAAAUAAAUUAAACUUACCUGUUAUCCAGUGUAUCUCAGAGAGAAACAUUGGGGGCAUAGCGGACAAUGUGCAGUAAUCGCCAAGAAGCGCCGAUCUAAUGCUCCUCAUAAAGCAUGUUGUGUUGUUAAUGAACAUGAAGGUUCAAGGCAAAUUGAAGUUCUAAAGUGUAUCAAUUGAACUGUUAAUAGCUCCUGACUGAUUCCUCUUCUGCAACUGUCACUAGUCUAAUACUAUCCUUUCCUUUUUGUGUCAUUUUAUCCCACUCCCUCUAGCAUGUAAGCUUAUUGAGCAGGGAAUUUGAUGGCGCUAUAAUAAAUAAUAACAUAAUAAUAAUAAUAAUAAUAAUAAAGUGCCUCUAGUGGCUCUCAGUUUGAUGAAGAUCAGCAACAUUUCAGCUCCAUUAUCAAGCUAUCAAUAUAACAAAACACAACCAUAUUCAUAGAGUAGAAUUGUUUGCCAGUAGGACGUGUCAGUAUUUAAACAGAUCAGAUAAUCAGUAUUUUCAGAGCUUCAUAAGGCCACAUAUUUGGUGACUGCAUAGCAGGUGUAUUAAUCACAGAAAAUGCAGCAUUUCGUAAUGUUUUACAGGGUACAGUUUCAAAACUAGUCACAGCAUAUAUGAACUGUAUUCGCAAAGAGGAACGGAAUUUGUUUUCAUGAUGGUUUCUAAAUAAAAUAAACACUAUUUGGCGUAUGGAAAAUUACAAAGAAUUUUCUUCAUUUCGCAACAGCUAUCUGUUACUGCAGGUAUUUUAGUAUAUAACAACCAAGAGAAAUAAGUGAGGUGUGAUGUACGAUGCACACCACCCCCAACCUACCUGUCAAUCUUCAUUGCCCACCUUCUGGGUUUAGGUGGACAGGGAUGAGAGCAGGCUGCAUAGUGCUCAGUGAAAUGGGCAGAGCAACCCCUAUAGAGAGUGCAUAGGUGAUUGACAGAACGCCCCAUCAAUUGGCAAAAAAAUUAAAGUAAAUUCAAAGUAAUUCUCAACAUUUAAGUCACAAUAGCUGAAUUAGAAAAAGUCUACAAGUCAGUUCUAUUUUAAGUUUUGCCGUUUUGUCCUUAAAUUUAUGUUGAAUUCGCUUUGAAUUCCUGGCAAUUCUCACUUUAAUGAAUAGCACUGACAAAUUCUUUGAUAUCUCUCAAAUAUCUGGACUGGAAUGGCCGCAUUCUGAGAUAGAUUUAAGGUGGGGUGGGGAGGGUGAAGUCUAUCCAAUAAAGAACAAGUUGCAAUUAUUUGACAACCAGACACAGAAGAUGAAGUCACGAUGUGAAAUUAAGGAUGGGGGUUGUAGUGUUACACAUUUCUAAAAAGUAAGAAAUCAUUCACUACUCUAGUCUAAACUUUGCAUCUACGCGUCACACCACUGUUUAUUAAAUAGAUGAUCCCAAUGUAUCGCACGUAUUCCCUUUGUACUAAUUAUCCCUCUUUUUAACCAAGGAGAUACAUGUGUGUCUAUCAGCUGUACUACGUAACUGUUUCUGCAGGUUCAUCUCUACCAUUUACUAUUGUGACAUCGAUAAAUAUAUCAGGGAUUAACAUUUCAAGUCCUACUCUGUUAGACAUACCUUAACGUUACUCCACAUCACAAUCUUAGAGGGUCCGUGACGCACUCACCAGGGAGCUAAUGGGCAAGUGAAAAUUGAUUACCAUUAGAGAUGAUAUAUAAUCUUUAUCUCUAAUAUAUGGCCAGUUCUAAGGGUAUAAGCCAAACCAUAUGUUUGAAACCGCUUAGGAAAAAAGCUCUGUAUUUUAAAAUGGAGUGUUAUUUUUGUCAUAUUGUAUAGUGAGUGCUAUCAUGUUUCCUUUAACCCAUUGCCUUUUGCAACAAUUAUUAUUAGCAUCUUCACUGAUCAAUGACUUGCUUGGUGAGUUUAAUAAAAAACAUCAGUGUACCACUUCCAAACUAAAUAAUUCAGACGUGGCUUUUCGUUUUCUCAUAAAUUAUGAGAAUUGAAAAUGUAUAUUUCUUUAGUAAUUGUUCUGUGCAGAUGUAGUUUCCCCUAGAAAGUACAUUAGCCAAGUAUGCCAACAGGUAAAGCAAAGAGAAUUAACCAGACCUGUUAUUUUAUUCGGCAACAACAUGUAAAUGUUUAGACCGUUACUAUUACUACAGCUAUGACAACAAAGCCUCUCAAUCAGUACACUCUUCACGGGCCACAUCAGUAAAUAAUAUAAUUAAUCGGCACCGAGUGGUGGAAAUUUCAACAGAAUUUCAGAAAUAAUUGUGUAACAGUAGUAGAUUACUUUCCCGAUAAAAUGUUUUGGUCAAAGGGCAGAUGAUUUAAUUCCGGCGCCCCCUCCCUUUUUACCAUGUCGUGCUGUUAAUAGUUCAAUACAAUUAUAGAGGGAAAAUGUAAAAAAUAUUUGUGUCCCUUCUCUACCCUUGAGGCUGUGCUCCCCUGUCUCUGGACACCCAAGAUUUAUUUUCAGCACUGACUUUUGUAAGAAUCUAAAAUGCCAGGUGGGUAGAAUAUGGUAUUUGUCUCUGAAAAUAAUUUUUUGUUUCAUGAAAAAAAUCUGAAGAUUCACAAUACGACUUCUGAUAUUCCUGAGACCUUGUUUUAUAGUGUAAUAUUCCCAUGUUUGUAGGCGCUACAAAGAAUUGGCACAUACACAAUCCAACUACUUUUUAGCUACAUUUACUACAAACUCUGAACUCUCCCAUCCCUGACAUAGUUCACCUAGCAGGACUCUGUGAACCCAACAACCUACACAAUAAAUUCGCUUUUAUCUCUUAACCUCGAUAAACCCAACAACCUACACUAUAAAUUCACUGUUGCCACUCAACCUUGAUAAGCCAACAGCCUACGCUAUGAAUUCACUUUUACCACUCUUUAAAUUCACUGUUACUACUCACCCUCGAUAAGCCAACAAUCUAUACUUUAAAUUCACUGUUACCACUCACCCUCGAUAAGUCAACAAUCUAUACUUUAAAUUCACUGUUACCACUCACCCUCGAUAAUUCCAACAGCCUAUGCUAUGAAUUCACUGUUACCACUAAUCCUUGAUUAGCCCAACAGCCUACGCUAUGAAUUCACUGUUAUCACUAAUCCUCGAUAAGCCCAACAGCCUACGCUAUGAAUUCACUGUUACCACUAAUCCUCGAUAAGCCCAACAGCCUACUCUAUGAAUUCACUUUUACCACUCAGCCUUGAUAAUUCCCAACAGCCUACGCUAUAAUUUCAUGGUUAACACUUUUUUAAAACCAUUCUGACUCCUGGGUGACUAACAUUUUAUUGCUUUAUAACCUUUUUGCGUCCCAAAAUCUAGUUAAACUUAUAAUGCACCAACUAUUCUACAGUGUAAACAUCAUAAUACGCCUACCAUGGUAAAAUGCAUGAGAUCUGUUGCAAAUUGCUCCAGUUAUACAUAACGACUUGAGACAGGUAAGGAGGAAAGUCUUUGUACUGUAACCUAUUCAAGCAGCCACGGUGUUUGUGAGUACAGUGGGUUUGUAGGUUGCCCCGGGACAUCCUGAUAUAGACUUGAUUUGAUCUCAUCUCGACCAUUAGAGCCAUUGCCGUUACUUUUGGAUCUAUCUUCAAUGCUUAUUGUGUGAAAAUAAAAGACCAUGGAAAAUGAUUGUGUGACUGAAUCUUGAGAAAGCACUACACACGUGCCAGUUAAUGGAUAUGCAUGAUAUUAACAGGUGCCCAGUGACAGCUGGCUAUGGAACAAGAACCUAUGAGCUUUCUUUUGGUCCUUAUGAUUAAUAUUAUCGCCAUUUAUAUAGCAGCAACAGAUUCCGUAGCGCUUUACAAUAUUAUUAGAGAGGGGAUUUAACUAUAAAUAAGAAAAUUACAAGAAUACUUACAGGAACGAUAGGUUGAAGAGGACCCUGCCCAAACAAGCUUACAGUCUAUAGGAGGUGGGGUGUAAAACACUUUAGGACAGGAAAUAGCAAUCAAAUUAGGUGGGAGUGAAGGAGAGCUGGAGGAGAGAGUAGAGUGCUGCCCUUUAGGAGAGAGCAAGAGACAGGUAUGUGAAGUAGAGGUUAGUCUGGGAGGCCAUAGGCUUUCCUAAAGAAAUGGCACUUCUUAAAUGAUUGAAGACUAGGGGAGAGUCUGAUGGCGGUAGGCAGGCUAUUCCAUAGGAAGGGAGCCGCCCUUGAGAACUCCUGCAAGCCCCAGUUGGCCGUAUGGGUGCGAGCAUUGGACUGAAAAAGGUCACGAGCAGAGCUGAGAGACCGAGAAGGGGCAUACCUAUGGAUCUGUGAGGAGAUAAAAGAGGGGCUAAGAUUAUUCAGUGCUUUACAGGUAUGGGUUAGAACUUCUAAUUGACUCCUAUAGUAUACAGGAAGCCAAUGUAAGGACUGACAGAGGGGUGAGGUGUGAGAGGACCGACCAGAAAGGAAAAUCAGUCUGGCGGCAGCAUUGAAUACAGACUGUAGCGGGGCAAUAUGGCUAUUGGGAAGACCAAUUAGGAGAGAGUUACAAUAGUCCAUGCGAGAGAUAACUAGAGUAUGGACAAGCUCUUUAGUAACAUCUUGUGUAAGAAAGGGGCGGAUGCGGGCAAUGUUUUUAAGGUGGAAUUGGCAUGAUUUGACAACAGACCGGAUGUGAGGCUCAAAGGUGAGGCCAGAAUCAAAAGUAACACCAAGACAACGUGCUUGUAAGGAUGGGCUGAUAUGGGUAACACCAAUCUGAAGGGAGAGCGAGAGAGGAGGAUUAAUAUUAUGAGGAGGAAAGACAAGAAGUUCUGUUUUGGAAAGAUUCAGUUUUAGAAAGCGGGAGGACAUCCAAUCAGAGAUAGAAGAAAGGCAAGAGGUGACACGUUGCAGGACAUCAGGGGAGAGGUCCAGGGAGGAGAGAUAUAUCUGGGUGUAAUCAGCAUACAGGUGGUAUUGGAAUCCAAAUGAGGUAAUACGCUUGCCAAGAGAGGCAGUGUAAAGAGAAAAUAGAAGGGGACCAAGUACAGAGCCUUGAGGGACUCCAACUGAGACAGGACAAAUGGUGGAGGUAUCAUUAGAAAAGGAGACACUGAAUGAGCAUUGGGAGAGAUAAGAGGAAAACCACGAGAGGACAGAGUCACAGAGACCGAGUGAUUUAAAAGUUUGGAGAAGGAGAACAUGAUCAACGGUGUCAAAGGCAGCAGAGAGGUCAAGAAAAAUUAGCAUGGAGUAGUGACCUUUGGAUUUAGCUAUGAUAAUGGCGUUAGUGACUUUGCUAAGGGCAGUCUCAAUAGAGUGGAGGGGGCGGAAGCUGGACUAAAGAGGGUCAAGGAGAGAGUUGGAGUUGAGGAAGCAGGCCAGACAGGUCCAACGGGCUCAGGAAAGUGGUAAAUAUGGGAAAGUGCUAUUCAAAAAGCAAUAUGGGAAAGUGCUAUUCAAAAUGUAGUUGAAGUUAAUUAUAAGCUAAGGUAGCAUUUCCCAAUUGAUUUUCCGCGGAACCCUGGGGUUCCGUGAGAACACAAAUGGGGUUCAGCCAAAAUUUCUGAAAACAAAAUGGCCACAAGCGGUGAAGAAACAGUGGCCAGUGAUCUCCCUGUUCAUCUCCCUCACAAGCACAGCAGUGAUGCCGGAGACGGAAUAUGACGUGACUCCGGCAUCACUAAGAGGCGCGCGAGGGAGCUGAGCAGGAAGAUCACUGCUCCCUCGCCGCCCACACGCCAGCUGCUCAGCAGCCCCACUGCACCCCAGGGACCACACGCUCAGCCAGGCAGCCCCACUGGACCACAGGGACAUAGAGAUUCCAUGCCAGCACUCCCACAAAGGUAUGGAGGCUGGGUGGAGUAAAAUGUAAAAAAAAAAAUGUAUUGUGUGUCUGUUAGGGAGUUUGUAUGUGUUUGUGUGUCUGUCAAAGAGUGUAUGUGUGUUUGUCAGUGUGAGUGUAUGUGUGCUUGUCAGUGAGUGUGUAUGUGUUUGUCAGUCAGAAUGUAUGUGUGCUUGUCAGUGAGAGUGUAUAUGUGUUUGUUUGUUUGUUUGUUUGUUUGUUAGUAUGUGUGUCUGUAAAAGACUAUGUGUGUUUGUUAGUGAGAGUGUAUGUGCAUCUGUCAAAGAGUAUGUGUGUUUUUCAGUGAGAGUGUAAGUCAAAGAGUAUGUGUGUCUGAAUGUGUCAGUGUGUGUAUCCAUGUGUCAAGGUUUGUGUAUGUGUCACUGUGUGUAUCUGAGUGUGUGUGUGUCAGUAUGUGUGUGUGUGUGUAUGUAUCAGUGUGUUUGCAUGUGCCUGUGUGUGUGUGUGUAUGUCAGUGUGUUUGCAUCUGAGUGUGUCAGUGUGUGUAUAUGACACUGUGUGUAUGUGAGUGUGUGUAUGUGCCAGUUUGUGUAAAUGUGGGUAAAAGUGUUUGUAUAUGUCACUGUUUGUAUGUGUAUGUGUGUGUCAAGAUGUGUGUAUCUGUCACUAUGUGCAUCUGAGUGUGUUUAUGUGUAUCUGAGUUUGUGUAUCUGUAUGUCAAGGUGUGUGUGUCUGUGUGUCAGUGUGUAUAUGUGUGCCACUAUGAGUGUAUCUGUGUGUCAGAUACAUACACACACACAGAUACACACUGACACAUACAAACACAGAUACACACACCUUGACACACACCGGCACAUACAAACACAGAUACACACACUUUGACACAUAGAUACACACACCUUGACACAGAUACAUACACCCAGAGAUUUACACAGUGUGUACUGGCACAUACAAACACAGAUACAUACAUUUUGAUACACAGGCACAUACAAACACAGAUACACACACUUUGGCACACAUAUACACACACUUUGACACACAGAUACAUACGCACACACACACACACACACAGAUACACACUUUGUGUCGAGGUGUGUGUAUCUGUGUGUCAGUGUGUGUUUCUGUGUGCCACUAUGUGCCAGUGUGUGUGUAUCUGUGUGUCAGAUACAUACACACACACUGGCACAUACAAACACAGAUACACACACCUUGACACACAGACACACACUGGCAAAUACAAAAAAUGGCUAAUUUUUUACAUUUUAUUUUUAACGUGCUGGGGGGGAGAGGUUCCACAAUGUUGAUACAUUAUGUCAAAGGGUUCACUGGAAAAAUUAACUGGGAACCCCUGAGCUAGGGUUUUAAUUUAUUUGUCAUUUAAGCAGUUAUUUUUGGAAUGUUCCUUUAAAACUCCUCAAUUCACGAGUCUAAUCUCGAUUUGCCGCCAGUGAGUUUAGCAUUAUCGGAUUACCUGCUUGCCAGUUGGAGAUAUUUGCUAGUCUGCGGUAUCCGCUCAGGCUUGUGAAGAUUGAGUCACUUACUAGAAUUUCUGUCUUGUUUUGCUGUUAAUGUCAGUAUCUGAAGUUUGCAUGAUUUCAUUGCUGUUCUCAACCUGAUACAUAGGCAAAAUAUUGAUACAAUUAGAGUUUAAAAUUCUAUGGAGAUAAUCAAAACAAAUUAGAAGAAAAUUAAAAUAAACACUCCUUCUAUCUUGUUAUCUGCAGAAAACAUAAAUCAUUUACUUUUCAUUUUAAUUGUUUAUUUCAGAGGCAGCAAAGUUUUUUAAUUAUUAUUAUUAUUAUGAUAUUUAUAUAGCGCCAUCAAAUUCCGCAGCGCUUUACGAUGGGUGGAUGAACAGACAUGUAGUUGUAACCAGACAAGUUGGACACACAGGAACAGAGGGGUUGAGGGCCCUGCUCAAUGAGCUUACAUGCUACAGGGAGUAAAUGACACAAAAAGGUAAGGAUAGUAUUAGACUAAUGACAGUUGCAGAAGAGGAAUCAGUCAGGAGCUAUUAACAAUUUAAUUGAUUCGCUUUUAUGAAGAAGUGGGUUUUUAACGAUUUUUUUAAGGAGUGGAGACUGGGUGAGCAUCUAACGGAGGAGGGAAGCAAGUUCCACAGGAACGGUGCAGCCCUCGAGAAAUCUUGAAGGCGAGCAUCAGAGGUGGAAGUACAGACAGAAGAUAGACGUAAGUCUUCAGCAGAUCGUAAGGGCCUAGACGGGACAUACUUGUGUAUAAGGGAGGAUAGAUAGGUGGGAGCAGCAUUAUGUAGAGAUUUGAAAGCCAGAACCAGAAUUUGAAAUUGAGCUCUAUAUUUUAUAAUCAUAAUUCACCUAUUUAUUGUCCUUGGUUAAACGACUCUGUGUGCAUCCAUUUCUCUCUCUUUGGCGAUGUUUACUAAAAAAAUAUUGUAGGGAAUGAACAGCUUAAAGCGUAUAGUGAUGUAUUGAUAAAGUAGGACUGCCUAUAAAGUGAUACCGUGUCAAUUUGGCGAUAGGUGGAAAACCAAUAAACAAUUUAGAAUUCUGUGUAAGAACCUGUUAUACACAUAAACAAUUCCUUUAAGGUUAAUAUUUCGUUGGUAAUUAUCAAUAGCUUAAUGUUAAUGGCCUGUGUGUCACAGUUAAAUUACCCUAUAUCUGUUUGUUUGGCUGUGAGAUACACAAGCACCUUUAGCUACAUUUCGUUUACUCCUGUUUUCUGAAAGGGUGUACACAGAGCUCGAAGUGAGCGCACUCUCAUUAGCCAUUAUGAACUGGCAAUUCAGUCGCGGCAAAUGAAAGCUCAGCCCUGGGGAGUCAUAACACUCGGUGCUUGUUAAAAUGAUCAGNNNNNNNNNNNNNNNNNNNNNNNNNNNNNNNNNNNNNNNNNNNNNNNNNNNNNNNNNNNNNNNNNNNNNNNNNNNNNNNNNNNNNNNNNNNNNNNNNNNNCUGUUCCCAGAUCCUGCACACUGAGAAUGCUGAGUGAUACACUGUCUACUUGCAAUCAGGGUAUGCAGUAUCCCCAAUGGAAUUAUGGAACAUUUAAACUCGUUGUUUGAGGCGUCCAGAAACCAGUCUAAUGGUUUCUCAGUAUGGCUAUUAAGCCGGGAUAAUUCAUGAUUCACUAUUACGGAAUGUGUUCUGGGAUUAGCUGCCGCUGUAUGUGCAGUCACUGGAUUGUAGUGUCGUAUUUAAAAAAGAUUACUCACUACAAACAUUGAAAUUAAACACAUAAACAAGCAUGCGGUAUUAUAUCUUUAGCUGUUGCUACGUGUUCUGCAAAUACAUGUUCUAUUUUAACUGCUGUCUGCUUUCUUUCAAGUAACACACAAACGUAAAAACGUAAUAUGUUUAUUUUUGAUGUUAGAAUGUCCCUUGUUCUAUUUAAUUUACUGCUCCCCUCCCUCCCUUACCUUUUAAAUGAAGAAAAAAUAAAUUAAACUUACCUGUUAUCCAGUGUAUCUCAGAGAGAAACAUUGGGGGCAUAGCGGACAAUGUGCAGUAAUCGCCAAGAAGCGCCGAUCUAAUGCUCCUCAUAAAGCAUGUUGUGUUGUUAAUGAACAUGAAGGUUCAAGGCAAAUUGAAGUUCUAAAGCGUAUCAAUUGAACUUAAAUAGCUCCCGACUGAUUCCUCUUCUGCAACUGUCACUAGUCUAAUACUAUCCUUACCUUUUUGUGUCAUUUUAUCCCACUCCCUCUAGCAUGUAAGCUCAUUGAGCAGGGAAUUUGAUGGCGCUAUAAUAAAUAAUAACAUAAUAAUAAUAAUAAUAAUAAUAAUAAUAAAGUGCCUCUAGUGGCUCUCAGUUUGAUGAAGAUCAGCAACAUUUCAGCUCCUUUAUCAAGCUAUCAAUAUAACAAAACACAACCAUAUUCAUAGAGUAGAAUUGUUUGCCAAUUAGUAGGACGUGUCAGUAUUUAAACAGAUCAGAUAAUCAGUAUUUUCAGAGCUUCAUAAGGCCACAUAUUUGGUGACUGCAUAGCAGGUGUAUUAAUCACAGAAAAUGCAGCAUUUCGUAAUGUUUUACAGGGUACAGUUUCAAAACUAGUCACAGCAUAUAUGAACUGUAUUCGCAAAGAGGAAUGGAAUUUGUUUUCAUGAUGGUUUCUAAAUAAAAUAAACACUAUUUGGCGUAUGGAAAAUUACAAAGAAUUUUCUUCAUUUCGCAACAGCUAUCUGUUACUGCAGGUAUUUUAGUAUAUAACAACCAAGAGAAAUAAGUGAGGUGUGAUGUACGAUGCACACCACCCCCAACCUACCUGUCAAUCUUCAUUGCCCACCUUCUGGGUUUAGGUGGACAGGGAUGAGAGCAGGCUGCAUAGUGCUCAGUGAAAUGGGCAGAGCAACCCCUAUAGAGAGUGCAUAGGUGAUUGACAGAACGCCCCAUCAAUUGGCAAAAAAAUUAAAGUAAAUUCAAAGUAAUUCUCAACAUUUAAGUCACAAUAGCUGAAUUAGAAAAAGUCUACAAGUCAGUUCUAUUUUAAGUUUUGCCGUUUUGUCCUUAAAUUUAUGUUGAAUUCGCUUUGAAUUCCUGGCAAUUCUCACUUUAAUGAAUAGCACUGACAAAUUCUUUGAUAUCUCUCAAAUAUCUGGACUGGAAUGGCCGCAUUCUGAGAUAGAUUUAAGGUGGGGUGGGGAGGGUGAAGUCUAUCCAAUAAAGAACAAGUUGCAAUUAUUUGACAACCAGACACAGAAGAUGAAGUCACGAUGUGAAAUUAAGGAUGGGGGUUGUAGUGUUACACAUUUCUAAAAAGUAAGAAAUCAUUCACUACUCUAGUCUAAACUUUGCAUCUACGCGUCACACCACUGUUUAUUAAAUAGAUGAUCCCAAUGUAUCGCACGUAUUCCCUUUGUACUAAUUAUCCCUCUUUUUAACCAAGGAGAUACAUGUGUGUCUAUCAGCUGUACUACGUAACUGUUUCUGCAGGUUCAUCUCUACCAUUUACUAUUGUGACAUCGAUAAAUAUAUCAGGGAUUAACAUUUCAAGUCCUACUCUGUUAGACAUACCUUAACGUUACUCCACAUCACAAUCUUAGAGGGUCCGUGACGCACUCACCAGGGAGCUAAUGGGCAAGUGAAAAUUGAUUACCAUUAGAGAUGAUAUAUAAUCUUUAUCUCUAAUAUAUGGCCAGUUCUAAGGGUAUAAGCCAAACCAUAUGUUUGAAACCGCUUAGGAAAAAAGCUCUGUAUUUUAAAAUGGAGUGUUAUUUUUGUCAUAUUGUAUAGUGAGUGCUAUCAUGUUUCCUUUAACCCAUUGCCUUUUGCAACAAUUAUUAUUAGCAUCUUCACUGAUCAAUGACUUGCUUGGUGAGUUUAAUAAAAAACAUCAGUGUACCACUUCCAAACUAAAUAAUUCAGACGUGGCUUUUCGUUUUCUCAUAAAUUAUGAGAAUUGAAAAUGUAUAUUUCUUUAGUAAUUGUUCUGUGCAGAUGUAGUUUCCCCUAGAAAGUACAUUAGCCAAGUAUGCCAACAGGUAAAGCAAAGAGAAUUAACCAGACCUGUUAUUUUAUUCGGCAACAACAUGUAAAUGUUUAGACCGUUACUAUUACUACAGCUAUGACAACAAAGCCUCUCAAUCAGUACACUCUUCACGGGCCACAUCAGUAAAUAAUAUAAUUAAUCGGCACCGAGUGGUGGAAAUUUCAACAGAAUUUCAGAAAUAAUUGUGUAACAGUAGUAGAUUACUUUCCCGAUAAAAUGUUUUGGUCAAAGGGCAGAUGAUUUAAUUCCGGCGCCCCCUCCCUUUUUACCAUGUCGUGCUGUUAAUAGUUCAAUACAAUUAUAGAGGGAAAAUGUAAAAAAUAUUUGUGUCCCUUCUCUACCCUUGAGGCUGUGCUCCCCUGUCUCUGGACACCCAAGAUUUAUUUUCAGCACUGACUUUUGUAAGAAUCUAAAAUGCCAGGUGGGUAGAAUAUGGUAUUUGUCUCUGAAAAUAAUUUUUUGUUUCAUGAAAAAAAUCUGAAGAUUCACAAUACGACUUCUGAUAUUCCUGAGACCUUGUUUUAUAGUGUAAUAUUCCCAUGUUUGUAGGCGCUACAAAGAAUUGGCACAUACACAAUCCAACUACUUUUUAGCUACAUUUACUACAAACUCUGAACUCUCCCAUCCCUGACAUAGUUCACCUAGCAGGACUCUGUGAACCCAACAACCUACACAAUAAAUUCGCUUUUAUCUCUUAACCUCGAUAAACCCAACAACCUACACUAUAAAUUCACUGUUGCCACUCAACCUUGAUAAGCCAACAGCCUACGCUAUGAAUUCACUUUUACCACUCAACCUUGAUAAGCCAACAAUCUAUACUUUAAAUUCACUGUUACCACUCACCCUCGAUAAGCCAACAAUCUAUACUUUAAAUUCACUGUUACCACUCACCCUUGAUAAUUCCAACAGCCUAUGCUAUGAAUUCACUGUUACCACUAAUCCUUGAUUAGCCCAACAGCCUACUCUAUGAAUUCACUGUUACCACUAAUCCUUGAUUAGCCCAACAGCCUACGCUAUGAAUUCACUGUUACCACUAAUCCUCGAUAAGCCCAACAGCCUACUCUAUGAAUUCACUGUUACCACUAAUCCUUGAUAAGCCCAACAGCCUACUCUAUGAAUUCACUUUUACCACUCAACCUUGAUAAGCCAACAAUCUAUACUUUAAAUUCACUGUUACCACUCACCCUCGAUAAGCCAACAAUCUAUACUUUAAAUUCACUGUUACCACUCACCCUUGAUAAUUCCAACAGCCUAUGCUAUGAAUUCACUGUUACCACUAAUCCUUGAUUAGCCCAACAGCCUACUCUAUGAAUUCACUGUUACCACUAAUCCUUGAUUAGCCCAACAGCCUACGCUAUGAAUUCACUGUUACCACUAAUCCUCGAUAAGCCCAAUAGCCUACUCUAUGAAUUCACUGUUACCACUAAUCCUUGAUAAGCCCAACAGCCUACUCUAUGAAUUCACUUUUACCACUCAACCUUGAUAACUCCCAACAGCCUACGCUAUAAUUUCAUGGUUAACACUUUUUUAAAACCAUUGUGACUCCUGGGUGACUAACAUUUUAUUGCUUUAUAACCUUUUUGCGUCCCAAAAUCUAGUUAAACUUAUAAUGCACCAACUAUUCUACAGUGUAAACAUCAUAAUACGCCUACCAUGGUAAAAUGCAUGAGAUCUGUUGCAAAUUGCUCCAGUUAUACUUAACGACUUGAGACAGGUAAGGAGGAAAGUCUUUGUACUGUAAUCUAUUCAAGCAGCCACGGUGUUUGUGAGAUGUGUACAGUGGGUUUGUAGGUUGCCCCGGGACAUCCUGAUAUAGACUUGAUUUGAUCUCAUCUCGACCAUUAGAGCCAUUGCCAUUACUUUUGGAUCUAUCUUCAAUGCUUAUUGUGUGAAAAUAAAAGACCAUGGAAAAUGAUUGUGUGAGUGAAUCUUGAGAAAGCACUACACACGUGCCAGUUAAUGGAUAUGCAUGAUAUUAACAGGUGCCCAGUGACAGCUGGCUAUGGAACAAGAACCUAUGAGCUUUCUUUUGGUCCUUAUGAUUAAUAUUAUUGCCAUUUAUAUAGCACCAACAGAUUCUGUAGCGCUUUACAAUAUUAUUAGAGAGGGGAUUUAACUAUAAAUAGGAAAAUUACAAGAAUACUUACAGGAACGAUAGGUUGAAGAGGACCCUGCUCAAACAAGCUUACAGUCUAUAGGAGGUGGGGUGUAAAACACUUUAGGACAGGAAAUAGCAAUCAAAUUAGGUGGGAGUGAAGGAGAGCUGGAGGAGAGAGUAGAGUGCUGCCCUUUAGGAGAGAGCAAGAGACAGGUAUGUGAAUUAGAGGUUAGUCUGGGUGGCCAUAGGCUUUCCUAAAGAAAUGGCACUUCUUAAAUGAUUGAAGACUAGGGGAGAGUCUGAUGGCGGUAGGCAGGCUAUUCCAUAAGAAGGGAGCCACCCUUGAGAACUCCUGCAAGCCCCAGUUGGCCGUGUGGGUGCGAGCAUUGGACUGAAGAAGGUCACGAGCAGAACGGAGAGACCGAGAAGGGGCAUACCUAUGGAUCUGUGAGGAGAUAUAAGAGGGGCUAAGAUUAUUCAGUGCUUUAUAGGUAUGGGUUAGAACUUCUAAUUGACUCCUAUAGUAUACAGGAAGCCAAUGUAAGGACUGACAGAGGGGUGAGGUGUGAGAGGACCGACUAGAAAGGAAAAUCAGUCUGACGGCAGCAUUGAAUACAGACUGUAGCGGGGCAAUAUGGCUAUUGGGAAGACCAAUUAGGAGAGAGUUACAAUAGUCCAUGCGAGAGAUAACUAGAGUAUGGACAAGCUCUUUAGUAACAUCUUGUGUAAGAAAGGGGCGGAUGUGGGCAAUGUUUUUAAGGUGGAAUUGGCAUGAUUUGACAACAGACCAGAUGUGGGGCUCAAAGGUGAGGCCAGAAUCAAAAGUAACACCAAGACAACGUGCUUGUAAGGAUGGGCUGAUAUGGGUAACACCAAUCUGAAGGGAGAGCGAGAGAGGAGGAUUAAUAUUAUGAGGAGGAAAGACAAGAAGUUCUGUUUUGGAAAGUUUCAGUUUUAGAAAGCGGGAGGACAUCCAAUCAGAGAUAGAAGAAAGGCAAGAGGUGACACGUUGCAGGACAUCAGGGGAGAGGUCCAGGGAGGAGAGAUAUAUCUGGGUGUCAUCAGCAUACAGGUAGUAUUGGAAUCCAAAUGAGGUAAUACGUUUGCCAAGAGAGGCAGUGUAAAGAGAAAAUAGAAGGGGACCAAGGACAGAGCCUUGAAGGACUCCAACUGAGACAGGACAAAUGGUGGAGGUAUCAUUAGAAAAGGAGACACUGAAUGAGCAUUGGGAGAGAUAAGAGGAAAACCACGCGAGGACAGAGUCACAGAGACCGAGUGAUUUAAAAGUUUGGAGAAGGAGAACAUGAUCAACGGUGUCAAAGGCAGCAGAGAGGUCAAGAAAAAUUAGCAUGGAGUAGUGACCUUUGGAUUUAGCUAUGAUAAUGGCGUUAGUGACUUUGCUAAGGGCAGUCUCAGUAGAGUGGAGGGGGCGGAAGCUGGACUAAAGAGGGUCAAGGAGAGAGUUGGAGUUGAGGAAGCAGGCCAGACAGGUCCAACUGGCUCAGGAAAGUGGUAAAUAUGGGAAAGUGCUAUUCAAAAAGCAAUAUGGGAAAGUGCUAUUCAAAAUGUAGUUGAAGUUAAUUAUAAGCUAAGGUAGCAUUUCCCAAUUGAUUUUCCGCGGAACCCUGGGGUUCCGUGAGAACACAAAGGGGGUUCAGCCAAAAUUUCUGAAAACAAAAUGGCCGCAAGCGGUGAAGAAACAGUGGCCAGUGAUCUCCCUGUUCAUCUCCCUCACAAGCACAGCAGUGAUGCCGGAGACGGAAUAUGACGUGACUCCGGCAUCACUAAGAGGCGCGCAACGGAGCUGAGCAGGAAGAUCACUGCUCCCUCGCCACCCACACGCCAGCUGCUCAGCAGCCCCACUGCACCCCAGGGACCACACGCUCAGCCAGGCAGCCCCACUGGACCACAGGGACAUAGAGAUUCCAUGCCAGCACUCCCACAAAGGUAUGGAGGCUGGGUGGAGUAAAAUGUAAAAAAAAAUAAAAAAUAAUUUUGUGUCUGUUAGGGAGUUUGUAUGUGUUUGUGUGUCUGUCAAAGAGUGUAUGUGUGUUUGUCAGUGUGAGUGUAUGUGUGCUUGUCAGUGAGUGUGUGUGUAUGUGUUUGUCAGUCAGAAUGUAUGUGUGCUUGUCAGUGUGUAUAUGUGUUUGUUUGUUUGUUAGUAUGUGUGUCUGUAAAAGACUAUGUGUGUUUGUUAGUGAGAGUGUAUGUGCAUCUGUCAAAGAGUAUGUGUGUUUUUCAGUGAGAGUGUAAGUGUGUCUGUCAAAGAGUAUGUGUGUCUGAAUGUGUCAGUGUGUGUAUCCAUGUGUCAAGGUUUGUGUAUGUGUCACUGUGUGUAUCUGAGUGUGUGUGUGUCAGUAUAUGUGUGUGUGUGUGUGUGUAUGUAUCAGUGUGUUUGCAUGUGCCUGUGUGUGUGUGUGUGUGUGUGUAUGUCAGUGUGUUUGCAUCUGAGUGUGUCAGUGUGUGUAUAUGACACUGUGUGUAUGUGAGUGUGUGUAUGUGCCAGUUUGUGUAUCUGUGGGUAAAAGUGUUUGUAUAUGUCACUGUUUGUAUCUGAGUGUGUGUGUAUGUGUGAGUCAAGAUGUGUGUAUCUGUCACUAUGUGCAUCUGAGUGUGUUUAUGUGUAUCUGAGUUUGUGUAUCUGUAUGUCAAGGUGUGUGUGUCUGUGUGUCAGUGUGUGUAUGUGUGCCACUAUGAGUGUAUCUGUGUGUCAGAUACAUACACACACACAGAUACACACUGACACAUACAAACACAGAUACACACACCUUGACACACACCGGCACAUACAAACACAGAUACACACACUUUGACACAUAGAUACACACACCUUGACACAGAUACAGACACACAGAGAUUUACACAGUGUGUACUGGCACAUACAAACACAGAUACAUACAUUUUGAUACACAGGCACAUACAAACACAGAUACACACACUUUGGCACACAUAUACACACACUUUGACACACAGAUACAUACACACACACAGAUACACACUUUGUGUCGAGGUGUGUGUAUCUGUGUGUCAGUGUGUGUUUCUAUGUGCCUGUGUGUGUGUAUCUGUGUGUCAGAUACAUACACACACACUGGCACAUACAAACACAGAUACACACACCUUGACACACAGACACACCGGCAAAUACAAAAAAGGGCAAAUUUUUUACAUUUUAUUUUUAACGUGCUGGGGGGUGGGGGGUUCCACGAUGUUGAUACAUUAUGUCAAAGGGUUCCACUGGAAAAAUUAAUUAGGAACCCCUGAGCUAGGGUUUUAAUUUAUUUGUCAUUUAAGCAGUUAUUUUUGGAAUGUUCCUUUAAAACUCCUCAAUUCACGAGUCUAAUCUCGAUUUGCCGCCAGUAAGUUUAGCAUUAUCGGAUUACCUGCUUGCUGGUUGGAGAUAUUUGCUAGUCUGCGGUAUCCGCUCAGGCUUGUGAAGAUGGAGUCACUUACUAGAAUUUCUGUCUUGUUUUGCUGUUAAUGUCAGUAUCUGAAGUUUGCAUGAUUUCAUUGCUGUCCUAACCUGAUAUAUAGGCAGGGGCGUACCUAGAGCAUUUGGCACCGGGGCAGAUCCUGUGCUUGGCACCCCAAAAAACCUGUAAAAAUGUUAAAGGUUUUCUUUUUUUUUACAAUUUGUAAACUUUGCAAAACCGCUGUCAGCCCCUCCUACAAAACCCUUGUCCUGCCCCGCCCCUCCUACAAAACCUCUGUCCUGCCCCUUCUACAAAUCCUGUACUGCCCCGUCUACAAAACCCCCGCAACCCCCUUCCACAAAUCCCCUGCUUAUCCCCCUUAUAAAGACUCCUGUCCCAAUACAAAACCCCCGCCCCCUUCUACAAAAUCCCUGCAGCCCCACACACACAUUUACAGGCAGACAGUCACACACUCAGUUACAGACAGACAGUCACACACUCAGUUACAGGCAGACAGUCACACACAGUCACAGGCAGACAGUCACACAUACACAUUUCCUCCGUGCACCCAGUUUAUCAGCUGUUUGCUUGUGUGAGCUAUACUGGCCGCACGGCACCCUAACUACCAUGGGACACUGUGCGGCCACAGCUCACACAGCCCCCUCCAGCCAGGGCCGGUGCAAGGAUUUUUGCCGCCCUAGGCAAAAGUAAAGUUUGCCGCCCCCCCAUGUGACAUCACAAUGCCUCACCCAUAUGAUCUGCCAUGUUAACUAACACUAGUGCUGCAGUGCCGCCGUGUUUACAUUAAAAGGCAUGCAGGGACAGGCUAGACACCAGAACCACUACAUUAAGCUGUAGUGGUUCUGGGGACUAUAGUGUCCCUUUAAUGUGAGGUAAAUUAGAGAUUAGUGCCACAAAUAAUAUACUAGAUUGCCUACUUACAACCAGAUGAGGAUGAUGAUGGGCUCUAGCUGCAGUCUGGCUCCACUGGUCUGGUGCAGAACAGGCUCUCUGGAGGCGGUUUGUAACUGUGGUCACAAAAAUCAAUGUUCUGGGAGAACGGGAAGCAGCUCAAUUUUUUGGGGGUCCUUUACACAGCUCAAGGUCUGGGUCCCAGGGUCCACCUUCAUGUUCCACCAAUGAGUUUGUUCACAGGGGGUGGAGUGUGUAGGGGAUGCCCUGAUAUGUGUGUAAGGAAUGCAUUGUGUGAAAUUGUGUUUGUAUGUGUAAGGGCUGCAAGGUGUGUUUCUGUGUAUUUAUGGGAUGCAUUGAAUGUGUGUAAGGGGUGCAUUGAGUGUGUGUAAUGAAUGCAUUGUGUGUUUCUGUGUGUGUAAGGGAUGCAUUGUGUGUAGCGGUUGCAUUGCUUGUGUAUGUGUGUCUGUGUGUGUAAUGCAUUGUGUGUUUUUCUGUGUGCAAGGGGUGCAUUGUGUGUAUGUGAUGAAUGUCAAUCUCUCCUCCCGCUCCAAUUUCCUUCUCCUCCUCCCAAUUUCUCUUUCUCACCCCCCCUCCCCCCUCCUAAUUUCUCUCUGUAACAAACCGUUUUGCACAAAAGGGGAAAAAAACGUCUAGGCGAUCGGCCCCCUUUCCGGAGAUGCAGACACAGCUACUGCCGAACACCAAACACACGAACCGCCAAUAAGUGAAUGCUCCAAACUCCCGAACGGCAUCCAAUAUAGCACUCCAAACACACGAACAGGAACCAUACAAAUUGCUGCUAGCAGACGAAUAGGAAAAGCAUCCAAGCGGCUUACACUCCUAGCAAUCAGUCUCUAUCAGCAUUCAGUAAAUCCCCCCAAAGACGAGACAAGACUCCGUGUUGAGGGUCAAGCAGUGGUCUGUUUAAUGAGGGCUACCUGCCCAGUAUUUAUGCAGGUCUCCCACCUGGUGGACACUCCCCUAGGGGACCAGAUGGAAGACUGUAACAAAAGACAGACAUGUACCAAUUACAGAUAUACAGAAGUAAAACAUCCCCACAAUGCAUCCUGGCUUCCUCCCAGGACAAAGGCAAAACUCCAUUACACACGUGGGGACACAAAACCAGUAUUAUACUUUAAAAUACAUAAAGUAACAUUUAUUACAUAAAACACAGACAUGUAACAUAUCCCCCGAUAGCUCAGGUCUGAGCGCACAUUAUUAUGCGAAUGGCGCUCAGACCACACGAAUACAGUUUAAUCGCCAUGGAGCCAAAGUCUUUGCAGUCAGUUUCAUACGAAUGGGCUCCAUGGGAUUCCUAUCUGGGGUAUAACACAUUCGAACAAAACUACCGAACACCGGGCCGUUCGUGCACUUCCACCGAACAAGAAGGGAGGUCGGCGGCUUCAGCGGUGUUCGCGCAAAACUGUGUCCGAUUUUAGUUCCAUGAAAAUAGGGGCGAACACCGCUGUGCAUUUGUAUGUUUAAAAUGGCCGCGACCUCGUGUUCGGGAUACGAAUGGCGGCCACCCAGCAUUCGUCAAUUAAGCUGCGGUUAACCGCAGCUUCAGGGAGGUUAAUUGCAGGCACACUCCAGCUCCCAGGUGGUCUAUUCAUUCGUGCGGUUGUUCGGUAGAUUGAAUCUACCGAACAACCGGCAGNNNNNNNNNNNNNNNNNNNNNNNNNNNNNNNNNNNNNNNNNNNNNNNNNNNNNNNNNNNNNNNNNNNNNNNNNNNNNNNNNNNNNNNNNNNNNNNNNNNNUCAUCUUCCGGCUCCGACAUCAGUACGGUGCGCGAGGGAGCUGAAGAGGAAGCACACAGAGAGUGCUCCCUCGCGCGCCGGCCGCCGGGUGUCAGCAGGGCCAGCCUCUGGGGGGGCCCUGACGUGGCCGCCUCCUGGGCCCCCCAGGAGAAGAGGCUCACCCUGUGGGUACAUACAGGGAUCGCAGGGCCCCCUGCGACCCGGUAUGUACCCACUGAAUGUGGGGCCCGGACGACCUGAGCAGUCCGGGCCCCCCAGGACCGCCGGGCCCAUGACAACCGUUGCGGUUGUCAUGCCCUGAUGGCGGCCCUGCCUGUGGGUAUAGGUGGUUUUUCUGGACAGACAGUCCAUUAGUUCUCAUAUUUACUCACAUUAUUCCUGUGCUCUGGUUAUAAAUGCUGUAAUUUACAGACAGACAGACCUUAUAUUCAGAAUUCAAUUCCUUAUUGCUCCAACACAAUCUCCCAAAUAUAGAGCAUGUGGUUUGUGGGUCACCUGUUAAUUAUAGGUAUCAUUACAUUUUGCCAUGUACAGUUUAAAAUAACAAUUUUAAACAUGGGACAAAAACUAGGGACUUUGACUAGGGAUUCUCUGUAAAAUCCCGUGCAAUUUGGCAGCUAUGGUACUGUUUCUGCAAGGGAAACUGUGACGAGAACAGCUAUGAAUUUAACUAUAAAUUACGUUUCCAUUAUUAUAUUAAAACUGUGUGAAAAUAAUACAGGUUUACUUUAGUUCGCUUUCUCUUCUCCAUCAUUGCAGCUGUAUCUAUAUUUUACAAAUUGUUCUGAAAAUUUUCCUUUAACUUUUAAUGAAAAAAAAAGAAAACAAACCAGGUUUAUAUAACAGUUACUUCAAAUUACAAAGAAAAUAAAAAUAAACAGGCAAGAGAACGAUUAUUUUUAUUAUUUGCUUUUCAUUAGCGCCGACAUAUUUUAUAGCGCUUUAUAAUUUUAUUUUUUGGAUUUUACAGUAAAUAAAAUAUUAGAAAUGUUUACAGAAACAAGAGUUUAAUGGUGACCCUGUCGCAAUGAGCUUUCAAUCUAGACAAGGGGGAGGAUUAAAACACAAGAGAAAGGUUGAGUUUACAGUGAUAAAAAAUGUGUUUGGCAGGUUCAAAAAGUCAGUUUUUUAAUUGGUCCUAAUCCAGAACAGGCAUUUCUGCUUUUACAUGCCUAUAUACCUGUGUGACAUCUCCAGCCCAGUCUAUUACUGUAUAUUGGCCUGAGCAGCCCAUGACCAGGAGAGCAAGAGAUAAAGACAGUUCGGAAUGUUGAAGGAUUUUCUGUAUGUUACAGAGAGCCCAUGUUUGAUGUCUCGAUUAAGGCUUUGGAAUCUUAACUUUGUUGGUGUUAAACUCCCACCAAUAGGCAAGGUAAGCUCUCUAAUCAAUGUUCAGGAUGACUCUUACCUGGCUGAGACUGAUAUGAGCUAUAGUCCAGCAGCAGGUUGGAAUAAACUUUAGUUUAAGUCCCGCAUGACCCAUGAAGGGGGUUCAUUAUUAUUAUUAUUACCAUUUAUAUAGCGCCAACAGAUUCCAUAGCGUUUUACAAUAUUAUGAGAGGGCGGAUUUAACUAUAAAUAGGACAAUUACAAGAAAACUUACAGGAACGAUAGGUUGAAGAGGACCCUGCUCAAACAAGCUUAUAGUCUAUAGGAGGUGGGGUGUAAAAACACAAUAGGACAGGAAUUUGCAAUCUAACAAGGUGGGAGUGAAGCAGAGCUGGAGGAGAGAGUAAAGUGCUGCCCUUUAGGAGAGAGCAAGAGACAGGUAUGUGAGGUAGAGGUUAGUCUGGGAGGCAAUAAGCUUUCCUAAAGAGAUGGGUUUUAAGGCACUUCUUAAAAGAUGCAAGACUAGGGGAGAGUCUGAUGGCGGUAGGCAGGCUGUUCCAUGGGAAGGGAGCCGCCCGCGAGAAGUCCUGCAAGCGUGAGUUGGCCUUACAGGUGCGAACAACGGACAGGAGGUGGUCACAGGCAGAGCGGAGAGACCGAGAAGGGACAUACCUAUGGAUCUGUGAAGAGAUAUAAGAGGGGCUAGAGUUGUUCAGUGCUUUAUAGGUGUGAACUAGUACCGUGAACUGACCUUAUAGCAUCAUAUUUCAUCCUAACCCUGGUCAUAAACUGAGUUAAUGUUUGCAUUUAGGUUGCUGACAUUAGUAAAUAUGCACGUGGGAGUUUAUGGUUAGUGUGUUCUUUCUGUAAUUUCACUGUUUGUUUGAAGAAGUUCCACCUCACCGAUAAAUACACUUAAGGCUCGAUUUACUAAACGCUGUAUUUUUAAUCAAACGGCAGUGCUAAUGUUUGGGAGCUGAGCAGUCUGGCUGCUUGUAAAUUAACAUUUCCUCCAAACCUGAUUUAUAAACUGGUUAUAAACAUUUUGCAAAGCAAAAUGUUGUCUGUCAACCCCCACCUUCCCACUUGUCUGGUGUUGGUCUUCACUCUGCAGAGAAAUAAAUGAGAAAAAAAAGUCUACCAGUUCCUCUGCCUCUCUGCAGAAUGACUUUAAAUGCCCUCAUCCCCCCCAACAGAUGUUCAGAUAUAAACAGAGGUGGACAGAGUGUUUGGGAAGUCAGGCGUGAACAUAUUGUCCAAGGUUUGCACUGCCAAGAUCNNNNNNNNNNNNNNNNNNNNNNNNNNNNNNNNNNNNNNNNNNNNNNNNNNNNNNNNNNNNNNNNNNNNNNNNNNNNNNNNNNNNNNNNNNNNNNNNNNNNAUUGAGCUAUGUCUGCUAUAGAGUUCAAGGACCACCUUUCCCGUCCCCCAACUGGCCUGAUGUCUGUACGAGUCACACCCCUGCAGAUCCCAUGUCAAUAAAUCUGCUUCCUUCCCCCUAGGUUCCUAGAGCAGCAUGACCACAGCAUGGCUAUCUCUAAACAGCACCAGCACUCUGAGCACACUACAGUGCUUCUUUGCAGGAUUGCUGCCAGCACUUUAUGGUACGCAUUAUUCCCAAAAACGAACAUUAGUGUUAGAUUCCGGUGUAUUUUUUUUUGGAAGUAAAACUCCGAAAUUUGUGCAAAAGUUCCAAGCACUACUUUGCCAUAUGAUCUAUACAUUGUUAACUUCCUAAGUAUUAUGAAUAUCUGCAUUCAUUGUCCCCAUUGAAUACGCCGUUAUUUCAAAACGCAGGAAACAGACAGGAAAACAAGCUCCAAGUGCAGUUCAAGCUUCGAAAUAAAGUCCAUUUCCAGCUUUGUAUAAAAUAAGCAUCCUGUUAAAGACAUUAUGUAAUCUUAGUCUGCGCCACUAGCGUGAUUAGAUUCUUGAAAAGACGUUCUCAGUAAUAAGUGACCUUGCGGUGAUGAAUGUAUUUGGAAAAUAAAUAUUUGUAAUGGAAAUAAAUCCAUAUUCUUUUCUUUGGCUGUGUUUAGACAUUACUGAAUGGGUUUAACCUCUCCACUUAUCAUACUGAAAUGGGAGGAGAUAAAUAAACAUAGCAUUCCUUCUAGAUGUAUGGGAAAUAGUCUGUUUUGCAGAAAUACUAAAUUUACAAAUAGGCAGGUUUAAAUAAACAACACUUUGCCAUUCAGCGCAUGCUGUCAGUUACGGGCCAUAGAUUUCAGUGGGACUACCUUAUUAAUAGUCACCAAACGGACCUGCUAGACACACUAGCAAUUAUUAAACAAGACUACAAAACAUUCUAAGGAGGGAGCACAGGAAGGACCCAGACAGGUUAAAUAUUCUGUCUAAUUCCUAGAUAAUGACCUGCUUGCAUAUUGCUCUAGGUGUAAUUGUCAUCUCACAGUCACGCAGGUUACCCAGAAUUCUCACAAAUAAAUAUAUUGACAUGGAAUACAAAAUAAGAAAAUUAAUCAGAACACCCAGUUAUAUAAUAUAAUCACAUUAUGAUGUUCUCCUCACACCUGUCCGUGGGUGGCUGCGGAGGCAAUUAGGGUAAAACACAUUUACAGAAAACUGUCAAUCAUUCUUUUUUCGGCAUCUAUUGGGUUUGGUUUCUGUCCAUGGGAGAUUUUUAUAUUCUAUGCUGAUAAGGGAAUAUACAUAACAGGGCUCUAAAUAUUAUGAAAGAUAUUGUGUCCUGUAGAAUAUAAACUGUUAAACCUCCCCAAUAACAAAUAUAUUUAUUUAAGAUAGCCAAAUGACACAAAUCAAUAACUUUCUGUACAGUGUAAUUUCCUUGUUGCAAAGAACAAAUAUUGGGUCAUCAAUCAAACACAGUUACAAAAAAUAGGUAAAUGUGGGAUUUUGUCAAACGAGCUGUCAGUUAAAUAAACAUGUACAAGGGAGUAUCUACUGACCAGCCUCAUUUUGAUGGAAGCGAUCAAAAUAGCAAAAACUGGAUAAACUCACUAAGUCAGCUGUGCCUGGUCUUAAAGGGAUACUCCAGCACUGACUGACAGCUCAGCUCGCGGUCUUUGCCCGCCCCUUCUCCUCUGCUGACAGGCAGGAGAGAGAAGGCGCGCACACAGUGCCUUCUAUCUCCUGCACACAUCAGAUGUAUUUUAAUACGUCUGACGUGUACAUGGCCUUUUUACGGCCAUACAUGAUCGGAAGUCCCUCUGGUGGCCGUCUGAGUGACGGCCACUGGAGGUAUUCCUAUUAAUCAAUGUAAACACUGUAUUUUCACUGAAAAUACAGUGUUUACAUUAGAUUGCCCGUAGGGAGCUAUAAAUCUCACCUGAACAACUACAUUAAGCUGUAGUUGUUCACGUGACUAUAGUGUCCCUUUAAAUCUGAAAUUCACGUCAGUUGCAUCAAUAGACCCUGGUGACUAAGACGCACACAGUGGGGUUCAGCAGUGCUCUCUGCAUGGUCAAGUAAGUUGACACAAACAUGAUGCCAAUCUGGUUCACCCCGUCAGUGGGCAGUUCCGCCCACUUUCCAGGAAGACACGCUGAUUACGGGAUUUGGGUCACUGGACCUACCAUACUUACCUAUCCCGGUUCCAUACCUCCCAAUUUUGGGAUAUAUGCUAUGGCAUACUUUCCAAAAAAGUUUAUAAGGAACACUCUCUACUUUGGAUUGAAAUCCCUAUGUUCUAGGUCAGAGAUCCUCCUCUUACUUAGCAAGUGCAGAAAUGUAAACGUUAUAUAAUUACCAAUUCUUUGUAUUUAGCACUAGCAAUGAUUUACUAAUCAGUGUCUGAGUUGUAAGUAUAUUUCAUAAGCGCACAGAUAUAUUCACAAAUUACAACGCUUUAACAACUUCACAUUAAAAUAUGCUGUGUUGUGUUCUUUUAACACACUGUAUUGAGCAAGUGAUAUUUAUUGUAGGCAUCCAGUAUUCAUUUGUAUUUUUUUUUUUUUAAUUACUCACAACAUUCUUACUUUUAGCGAGACAGUCCAUUGUCGAGACACAAACGUGCUUGUGGUCCUGUCGGUAAAAGUCUGGACGGAUAGACUGUCAGUCAGGGUGACGCGUCCCGUCAGUGGGCAGACUUGCCCUUUUUCCAGGCAGACCUGCCCAUUAUGGGCAUCACUGGUGAUGUAAGCCAUGUCACUGGUGACAUCCCCUCAGAGCGCGGGCAUUAAUAUAAUGUAUGCAUGAUUUAAUAAAUUGUGCACUCAAUUUAAAAUAAUUUCAUUAGUUUGCUCCUCUGAGACUCUGUAUUUGUGCUAUUUAUACAGUAACCAUGUACAUUUUGAGACUGGUGCCCUAUAGAGUGUAGUAAAAAACACAUCAGGUGACAGGGCAAAGGCACUGUGUUAAUGUUUUCCUUAUUUAGCAACAGCUCUUAAACUUUGCCAUUAAUUUCCAUUUAAGUUGUUUGUUUUACAGUUACCCACAACUCCCCAGUGCUCUCAGUGCAUAUCUUAUCCACCCUUAAACCUAGACAUUAUCUCUCAGUAACAAGGAGUUUGAUUACAGAGCUCUGUGAGUUUUCGUCGGGGUAUGUAAAUAAUCAGAUGUGAAAUUAGGGGGUUCUGACAAAACAAGAAACUAUUGGGCUCCAUGACCAAAAAAAACAGAAUGCUUCUUGAAAUGUUUUGUAAAAUGUACAGGUGAGAAAUAGCCAGAGACUAGAUAAGAAAUAUUUAAUGUUAACGUUACUAACUUAUGGCGCAAAGCAGCCAUAUUGGAAGUAUAUUUGAGUAUUUUCAUUUGCCCUAACGAAGCCUGAAUUUUGCGGAUAAGUUGCCAUGUCAACAUAGUUAGUAUUUUAUUGAGUCAAGGAAAGGGGUUAAACCAGCUGUUGGAAAGAGAUUAGCUGCCGUGAAGAUUUCAUCCAAUAGACAAAAUGCGUGAGAGUUGAAUUUAAUAAAAAAAUAACACAGCAAAUGAGAUUAUCAACCUAGAAUGCAUGUGUAGGUCUCCAUUAACCAUUUCCAUUGUCUUAAGCACGGCUUGUGCUGUUGUCCAUUCAUGUAGCACAAGAACCGGGGUACACAUUUAGUACAUGCGAGUAUCGCGCAUGGUAGAGAGACACAAAAAGUUUAACAAAAAGGAAAGUACAAAUGGGGGGUGGAACAAGGAGACAAAUCAAGGUGCCCAAGAUACACCCACUUGUUGGAAAAGUCAACCGCUAUUCUUACUUGCUAUUCAUUUACUAGUUGUGUAUGGUGGCUUUACGAAUGAUAACUGUAGAUGGCUUGGCAAGUUUUCAUGGACAUAUAAAUGUGGCUCCCCAAAAAGUCAGUUUAUUACAUAUAAAAUCAUGAUAAAAGGAAUAUGCUGGAUCAUCGUACUGGCUCUCUAACAAUACUGACGACAGGAGCUGUAUAUUGUCUGUUGAACUGUUGAAGUGUGACCGAGUAAUUGCCCAGAAGGCAGUAUAUCAGGAUUGUCGAGAACAUUUCAGGGGAAACAGACCACAGAAAAUGUAACAAAACCAGCUACCUAUUCAGCGAGAUUAACUUGUGAAAGUAAUGGACAUUAAUGAUAGAAAUAGAUUGGGCCCAUUUGUGUCCACAUUUAGGGAUUGUCAUUAUAACAUGCAUCAAAAGUCCAUCAUUAUAACCAGACAAGUUAGGACUUAGAAGAAGACAGGAAUACUGAAUUUUUAUCAUUCCCUUUAACAGGGAAUACAAUCUCCAUUUCUUUUAUAUUCCCUGUUUCUUUGUAGUCUGCUUUAGUAGCAUCUGACACUAUGUCUGUGUCCAGUUUGCUGUGUUUUGAUCAUUAUUGGGGGACCAUCAUGUGGUGUUCGAUUUUUUUCUUUGUUUUCUUCCAAAUACUUAUGUGUGUGACUUUCUCCAUGAAUAGUAAUACUUGCAUUUACUGAAUGUAUAGCCCGUCAGUUGUGAUACGUACAUGGAUUACGGGACUGGUGGUUGCCCCGUUAAACAAAGUUCUGUCCUGUGCCCUUAUUUUUGAAUGCAGUGUCAUUGCUUUGUUUCUGUCCAAUUCUGUGAUAGUAGUGAGCGUGUGGGUGGAUUGAGUUGUGUAAUGACAGUAUGACACGCACAGGAUAUCAGAAAGUUGUGCUAACAGAUGUAUGCCGAAUGGACCUGGCUGCUGGCCAUGACUGCGUGUACCAGAGUACAUAUCUCUACAUAAACUGUAACAGAAUAAGGGAUUGUUUAUUUAAACCCGGUUAUCACACGCCAAUUUAAAGGGCAGGAUACUUCACGUUGGUAUUAGUAUCAGAGCUCCUACAGAUCUAGAUAAGUAUCUUUAUAGCUCUUGGCACUCUAAUCGUUUUGGACUCUGCUUCCAAUAUUGCUCAGUCAGGAAAGUCUGCAUGUGGUAUGUGUAUUUUUUGGGCUCUGUCUUGUCCCUGCAAAUGUGGAAUUAGUGGUAUGUUUGCACUGUGAAGCUUGAAUAGCAUACCUCCCAACAUUUCAAAUGUACAAACACAUGCAAUUUAAGUUUAGGGGUGUGAGUGUGGAGUGUGGCCAGGGGCGGGGCUCUACUGUGAAAGUUUAAAGUAAGACUGAAUUCGCAAAGUCCUCCAACGAUUACAUUAUCGCUGGUGGUCCAGUGACCGACGUGGGCAGGAAAAGGUGAGUUUACUUACCGUAACGUGACUCUCGCGGGCAUUGCCGACAUCACCGCUGUACUCCCACGCUUGCACAAGAGGACAGCAUUGAGGUCCAUGGGGGAUCCCACGAGACUGCAGGAUCCUCCAUACACAAAGCUAAUUCCCUGAUGACAGCUACAGGGAUUGACACUUUGCUCAAUACUUUCUCUCAGUAUUUCUCGUGACUGGGUUGGCGUUUCAGUGAAAUUCUAACACAGUCAUAAUGAGUAUUUCAUAAAGAUUCUAUCAAUAUGAAAUACUAGUUUUUCAGAGGGGAUGACAGUUCCGCUUUAAGUAAAUAAAAUGUAAUGUAGAACAAAAACAAUGUAUCUUAUUACACAGACUGAUUUCUAAAAACAUUUAUUGUAGUUUAAAGACACAUUACUGGGAGUAUUAUUGCUGUGGAGCCCUGUUAUACACUCAGACACAUUACUGGGAGUGUUAUUGCUGUGGAGCCCUGUUAUACACUCAGACACAUUACUGGGAGUGUUAUUGCUGUGGAGCCCUGUUAUACACUCAGACACAUUACUGGGAGUAUUAUUGCUGUGGAGCCCUGUUAUACACUCAGACACAUUACUGGGAGUAUUAUUGCUGUGGAGCUCUGUUAUACACUCAGACACAUUACUGGGAGUAUUAUUGCUGUGGAGCUCUGUUAUACACUCAGACACAUUACUGGGGUAUUAUUGCUGUGGAGCUCUGUUAUACACUCAGACACAUUACUGGGAGUAUUAUUGCUGUGGAGCUCUGUUAUACACUCAGACACAUUACUGGGAGUAUUAUUACUGUGGAGCUCUGUUAUACACUCAGACACAUUACUGGGAGUAUUAUUGCUGUGGAGCUCUGUUAUACACUCAGACACAUUACUGGGAGUAUUAUUGCUGUGGAGCUCUGUUAUACACUCAGACACAUUACUGGGAGUAUUAUUACUGUGGAGCUCUGUUAUACACUCAGACACAUUACUGGGAGUAUUAUUACUGUGGAGCUCUGUUAUAACACAUUACUGGGAGUAUUAUUACUGUGGAGCUCUGUUAUACACUCAGACACAUUACUGGGAGUAUUAUUGCUGUGGAGCUCUGUUAUACACUCAGACACAUUACUGGGAGUAUUAUUGCUGUGGAGCUCUGUUAUACACUCAGACACAUUACUGGGAGUAUUAUUACUGUGGAGCUCUGUUUUACACUCAGACUCAUUACUGGGAGUAUUAUUACUGUGGAGAUCUGUUAUACACUCAGACACACCAACAAUUUGGAGCUCCAAGAAAAAAGGGACAUUAGGAGAGAAAAGAGGGACAGAGGGAUAGUGGCCCAAAAUAGGGGCUGCCCCUCCUAAAUAGGAACAUUUGGUGGGUAUGGUAUAGUGAUCGAUGUAUCUAAAUUGCUGGGAUAUUUUUUUAUCUUUUAAUGAUAGGCCACAUGCCUGAAGAAAGAAUGUCUGAUCUCUAAAUCAAGGACAGUUUCCAACUUGAUUGUAUUCUGACUGCAUAAACCAAGGAUACAUUUCAGCAUUUAUGUGAUUAAUCAUUUAUUGGAAGUACAAUGUGCUGCUGCUAUUUAUCUAGAAUGUGCAAGGCAAACACUGUCUGCUUACUUACAACUUCAUGUGCGUAAAUACCAUAUAGUCUUUGAAUGUAAUGGGUUCAGAUGCAUGCCACAUACCUGCCACAUACCUGCCACAUACCUGCCAAGACUCCCAUUUUGAAAGGACAGAUCACUCCUCUCCUUUCUACCUCUAGUUCCCAAUUAUCUAGAAAAAAAAAAAAGGAAAUGAGCGUGGGGCAAAACCACCACAUGAAUUCCUUAAUCAUGCUCUACUGCUCUUCAGGGAACAGCAAAAAUCACACCGAUAAAAACAGUAUUAAAAAUAUAAAUAAAGUUGUGCAUCAUACAUACAUGUUUCUUACAUGUACUCUAGGAUUUCGAUAUCACCAAAACAUGCCUCUCACUAGUCCAUUUAAAGGAACACUCCAGACACCAUACCCACUACAGCAUGCUGUAAGUGUUUUUUGGUUCCUUGGUGCCAACUGUCUUAUCACCUGUGUCUAAACACUGAGCUAAACCUGCAGUGCAAGGCUUAGAUCAUUGGUGGAAAGCCAUCAGCUGACACUCUCAGACUCAGACAAUGGGCUGACCUUGCACUGCAAAGCUUAGCUCGGGAGAGCUAAUGAAAGCUCCUGGUAGUACUUUGCAGGACUCAGUACCAGAAGCCACGAAACAAGGAGCAGACCAAAGGUUAGUUGUCAAAGUCGCAAGGAAACGAUAUGACUACUUACAUUGGCGUUGUACCAGAGCACUCCAUUGGGGGUUCGCCAGUGUGAUGUAGUUGGAGUGUCCCUUUAAGUGGGAUGUGUCUGUUUUUGGGAUACCAGUAUAGUUUCCUGAUGUCCUGUAUCCGGGGACACCAAAGAACUGUCCCCAGCCAGCACAUCAUUAGAUAUACUCACUCUGUACCGAGGGCCCUGCUGAACACUUUAUAUGUUUUAUUUAAAUAAAAAACAACAAUAAAAGUAAUAACAUAUAAAGCUUCCAGCAGAAAAGUAACUUCACAAAGAUCCUUAGUAACAAUUUCUAUGAAUAAGGAUACAACAAAUGAGGCUUUUUGAUAUGUUGGAAGUGCAAGAGUUAAAUGUUACAGCAUGACAGGUGAAUUGCCUCUCGAAAAUGUAAUAAAAAAAUUAGUAUCAAGAAGAGGAUCUCACAUAUGGCAAUCAGAAAGUAUCUGCCUUAGUAAAUACUGAUUAAACCAAGUAGGGUACAAGGUUUAUUGGUGGGAAAACAUAUGUUCUUUCAGAGCCUAUUACACAACUCUGAAGUGUGCAAGUCAUCAGAAGGGGAAGAUGUCUCGUACUACAAUUUAUUUAUACAGUUAUCCAUUAAAGGACCACUAUAGUGCCAGGAAAACAUACUCAUUUUCCUGGCACUAUAGUGCCCUGAGGGUGCCCCCACCCUCAGGGUCCCCCUCCCGCCCGGCUCUGGAAGGGGGAAAGGGGUAAUAACUUACCUUUUUCCAGCGCUGGGGGAGAGCUCUCCUCCUCUCUCUCCUCCUUCUCCUCCCCUGGGCUGAAUGCGCACGCGCGGCAAGAGCUGCGCGCGCAUUCAGCCCGUCGCAUAGGAAAGCAUUUACAAUGCUUUCCUAUGGACGCUUGCGUGCUCUCACUGUGAUUUUCACAGUGAGAAGCACGCAAGCGCCUCUAGUGGCUGUCAAUGAGACAGCCACUAGAGGAUUAGGGGAAGGCUUAACCCAUUCAUAAUUAUAGCAGUUUCUCUGAAACUGCUAUAAUUAUGAAAAAAUGGGUUAACCCUAGAAGGACCUGGCACUCAGACCACUUCAUUAAGCUGAAGUGGUCUGGGUGCCUAGAGUGGUCCUUUAACAAAUCAACUAGGAAACAUUACUGUGACAUUAAGUAUUUUGUUGAAAAUGUUUUAGAUUCAUCACUUCCUUCACAAACUAUCAGCAAGUAUUAAAGGAACACUACAGUGUCAGGAAUACAAAUUUCCAUUCCAGACACUAUAUUUCUAAAUAGCUUUUCGGACCCUCCCUUACCUCCAGUUAAAAAGGUGAUUUACUCAUCUUUAUUCCCCGCCCAUGCUCCACCCCCACUGAGCACUGACCAGGAAGCACGUCUAGUGGCCGCCUGAGUGACUGCCACUAAAGGUGUCCCUCGGCACCAAUGCAAAUACUGCCUUUUCACUGAAAAGACAAUGUUUGUAUUAAAAAGCCUUCAGAGACUGGCUAAAUUCACCAGAAUAACUACAUUAAAGGACCACUAUAUUAUGGACUUAUUUCCUAUUCCUUGAUCUAUUCAAUCUUAUUUAUUCUUUAUACUAUUUAGGCGAGACAUUCCCUAAUUUUGGCCCAAUUUUUGGCUCAAUAUUGUUUCAAUGUCUGAGUGUAUAACAGAGCUCCACAGCAAUAAUACUCCCAGUAAUGUGUCUGAGUGUAUAACAGAGCUCCACAGCAAUAAUACUCCCAGUAAUGUGUCUGAGUGUAUAACAGAGCUCCACAGCAAUAAUACUCCCAGUAAUGUGUCUGAGUGUAUAACAGAGCUCCACAGCAAUAAUACUCCCAGUAAUGUGUGUGAGUGUAUAACAGAGCUCCACAGCAAUAAUACUCCCAGUAAUGUGUCUGAGUGUAUAACAGAGCUCCACAGCAAUAAUACUCCCAGUAAUGUGUCUGAGUGUAUAACAGAGCUCCACAGCAAUAAUACUCCCAGUAAUGUGUCUGAGUGUAUAACAGAGCUCCACAGCAAUAAUACUCCCAGUAAUGUGUCUGAGUAUAUAACAGAGCUCCACAGCAAUAAUACCGCCAGUAAUGUGUCUGAGUGUAUAACAGAGCUCCACAGCAAUAAUACCCCCAGUAAUGUGUCUGAGUGUAUUAUUGCUGUGGAGCUCUGAGCUCCACAUCAAUAAUACUCCCAGCAAUGUGUCUGAAUGUAUAACAGAACUCCACAGCAAUAAUACUCCCAGUAAUGUGUCUGAGUGUAUAACACAGCUUCACAGCAAUAAUACUCCCAUUAAUGUGUCUGAAUGUAUAACAGAACUCCACAGUAAUAAUACUCCCAGUAAUGUGUCUGAGUGUAUAACAGAGCUCCACAGUAAUAAUACUCCCAGUAAUGUGUCUGAGUGUAUCGCAUGCUCCACAGCAAUAAUACUCCCAGUAAUGUGUCUGACCGAAUAACAGAGCUCCACAGCAAUAAUACUCCCAGUAAUGUGUCUUUAAACUGCAAAAAAUGUGAUUUGAACUCAGUCUGUGUAAAUGUGUCUGUAAAUAUAUAUAUAUAUACACACACACAUAAUUGGCACAAACCUAGCAAACAUAGGUGCCAAAUAUCCUAAUUUAGCAAUGAGAGUCCCUCAUUUUGGUGUACUGUCCCAGCAAAAAUAGGUCCCUGGGACCUGUCUGGCAUUUUUAUAUCUGCUAGCAGGAGGGGACAGGGCACUUGGAGCAUGCACAGAGUAAUUCAGUAGCUCUUGGUACACGGUCUGUUUGAGGAGCAGGCUGUCAGUCAGUGAUAGGCAGGUUUGCCCAUUUGAUGUCCCACCCUUGCUCUGUGCAGCCUGCUUUUUUCUCUACCAACCUCCUUCCCAGAAGGUGAGCCAAGAGUGUACGGUACAAAUAAAUCCUAAAUGGAUCACUUUGAUCACAGCUGUUGCAGUGGUGCGGUUUCUGAAAGUAAUAAUGCUGCAUAUGUGUAGAUGUUAAAAGGCUUUAUUCACAUACCAGGAACUGAUCAAUAAAUAAGAAUUAAUGAGACAUUUCUGAUUUUAGCCCAAACUAGCUGAGCUACAAAAUAUCUGAAAAAAGAAAGAUUUCGGCACACAGUUUGAGUUACCCGGAUCAGUUCUGGAUAAUUCUUCAAUUACUGAAUCAACUCUUAAGUAUGGUGUAAUCACAGUUCUCCCCUCAGCAAUACUUCCCCCCAUAGUCCCCCUGGGACACUUCCUACAUAAAGCAGGAUUGCCAGAGUAACAUAGAGCUGACCAAUAUAUUACUCAUUACUUUAACCUUUUAGACGUCUCACGAUGAGCUUUAAAACCUUCGAACCUCGCUGUCACAUUAUUCUAUUAUUCUUAUGGGCUCUGAUAUAAUCAUAAUCCUUCCUUCCCCCUAGUCUCAAAGGAUUAGAUUUUUUUUUAGAUUUAUGCCUGUUUCGGAAAUUGGUAGAAAAAAUAAAUAAAUCGAAUUACAUUUUUUUAGUUGCAAAUGCAAUGUAUAAUGUUGGCGUUUAUGAUACUGGUGCUGGAGAGAAACUGUAGCAUGAGAGAGGCUUGUGUUACCAAAUAACAGGUCACCAGAGGGGAAAAAACAACUGAAGAGUAGCAUAGCAGACUACAAUAAGGACUGUCCCUGCAGACUGGAGACUGUUGGCAAGUAUGUGACCAGACAGACAGCUGAGACACUAUAAGCAAUAUAACGUCUAUGGCAACAUUGUAGUGGCUAUGGUGCUAGGAUACUGUGGUAGCUCUCCCCAGUUCCCCAGGCUCCUAGAGCCAAGCCCAUCACUCAGCAUAUUACAUUAGCAAUGUCAGAUUUGGAAGGCCUGUUCUAUACCGCUUGCAUCCAAAGGGUGUACGCAGAUAUUGUAUAUGAACUAUUAGCAAAUAAUUGUUUCAGAUUAUUUAGGUUUGAAACAAAUCCAGUUUUUGAUACCGGAGAAACUGACGGAAGCAAAGCACAGAGAGAUAGACACAGGUUUCUUCAGGAAGGAAGAGAUUCUUUAUUGGAUCACCGAUCGGGACUCAGAGGGACUAAUGUCACCAAAAAUACAGCAAGUUCUGAGCCCUGAACAAUAGUGCAGGCUCCCUAUAUAGGCACAUAACUCCUCCCAUAUUAAGCUCCACCCGCACAUUCUCUUGACCAAUCAUUACAAAUAAGAAUUAACUUCCUGCUUGACCGCAUGGCUUGUCCAGCACAAUGGAGGAGGGGAAUACUACAUCCUGUAUUCUUGCACAUGCUCCGUACACUACUGAUCGUAUCUUGCCUCGUGCAACCAACUGAUCGAUACGUCAGCAUAUGCACGUACACAUGCCACGUGGUAAUCUCGGCCUACUAAAUUUAUUUUUACCGAGAUUCCACCACAUUCCCCCCUUUGAUGCCUCUUGAUAUUUUACAAUUACUUGAGGCAUCACUUAACCUUGGUUUGCAUACACCACAAGUUACCUUUGAACCAGACCAGACUUAUCCUAUGAUGUGAAUCUUCAACACUCGUCUUCCUGCAUUGGUUCUCCCUGAUCUAGAGCCUUAUAUUUAUAAAUUGCCAUUAUCUGUGCAGCAGCCUUCCUCUCUGCUAUAUUUUCUAUCAGGCUUUGCACAGACCUAACUACUAAGGGUAUAAGACACGGCAGGAGUAGACACAACAUUAAAAUCAGUAGGACUCCACCUACCACUGCCUUAAGCCCUUCAAACCACUCAUACCAGCUACCAAACCAACUACUUGGAUUGUACCCUUUCCAUACCUGAGUAGGCACAUGCGCUAGUUUAACCAUAUGGCUAGUAAGCUCAGCUAUUGCUUGCCCUUCGUCAUCUAUUUGAAGACAGCAAUUGCUCACGUUAAACUUCCCACAUACACCUCCCUCUACUGCCAAAAGAUAAUCCAAGGCUAAUCUAUUUUGGUAAACUGCUGUCCUCAUCCUGGUAUUAUGCUUCGCUAGAAGAUUGAGCGCUUGUGAUGUCUCAUUAGUAAUGAUCUCAACCACCGCCUGUAACCUUAUAAUGCGGUUGAGCAUAUAAAUAGGGGUUCUAUAACCAAAGGUACCAUCCUCUGCCCACGUGGCUGGCCCAUAAUAAUCUAUAAUACGCUGGGAGGCCAUUCAUUAUCUUCCCAGGCACCUAUCUCUAUGGGUCCCCUUUUCUUCCUAUGAUUCACAUCAUACACUUUAACACCUAAAGUCUCACCUGUUUCAAUAGGCAACAAGAAGGAUGGUUUUAACAUACCCAACACACAUGCCCCUUCCCAGUCCUGUGGUAACUCCGAAUAGGCCUUCUUGCCACAGAUCCAGUACAAAUUCGCUGGGGCUCUCCAGUUAGAUGUGAUGGAUAGAUCAAACCAUACGUCCUUUAAAUUGGCAUAUCUUGCAAACGGGUUAGAUGGUUCUGAGACAUUUGAAGCCGACCACCAAGUUAUAUUCUUUGUAUCAUCAUCAUAAGCUUUUUGCCCUAGACAAGUUAAUUCUCCUACAGAAGUAUUAUACAUCAUUCCUUUCCUCGCUAUGCAAACAUAACCUAUGAUGGAGGUCUUCAAUCUCCUCUCAGAUUUACCUCUAACACUCAUAUGAUAGUCGGCUUGUGUAGAUAUUAAUUGGUCAACUGCCUCAGAACCGGACAUUACCUCCUUUGCUUCCCAAGGCCAUUGGUCUCCCAUGUUAGUACCUCCACACACAUAGCAGUUGGUAACAUUAAGACUACCGGCAAUACUUUCGGCUAAAUCAAUGAACAAGUUUUUAGCAUUAUGGGGGAUCUUAUUAUCUAUGCUCAUCUCUUCAUAAAAGGAAUGGUAUACUUGAUGAGUUUGGGAGGUUACCGUCUCAGUCUCUAUCCCUAUAAACAAUAUUGUCCCAGGGUCUAAACCCGUCCCAUAUAUUUGAAACCCAAAUAAAUUACCAUAUUUAUCUAAGAACUUGUCAGGGUUAUUUAUAAGUAUAUGGAUUGGAUUGCAUUCCAUAGACUUACAAUAUGGAUCAGUAGGCAACUUAGUCACAAUCAUGUCCUUGUCUGCUGUCUGUCCCCAAGUUGCCCACCCCACACAAGACCAAUAUGGGCAGAAGUUAUAAUCUCUAUUUGGGCAUCUUGGACUUACAUAUUUAUUUUUACUACUGGGACAAAUAUAUUUAUCGUUAGACCCAUACGUCCUCUCCCAUCUAAGAUCCCCUCAUACAUUCCACGGCUUUCUACCACUUGAUAUUGCUUUACACGCAUCAAAUAGCAGAGCACCUGAAGAAUAUACGGAUUCUAAUACCGUCUUAAUAAUUAGGGUCCCCUGAGGAUCUCCAUUUCUGAGAGUCAACCAAAUUGUACGGGGUUGAUACUCAGGACUGAAGCACUUAGGUUCUCCUACUCCUAAAUGACACACACUAUAUUCUAUAUUUAAGUAUCUACAUCUUGAUACAUCUCCUUUACACUCAUAUUGCGAAUGCCAAAUUAGGGUCUAGGAUAUAUGGUUACCUGUUCUUGUAGUCUUAAUGCAUACCUCACAGCUAGGAGUGUCGGUACCUCUACCUUCCUGAAUAUAAAAAUACACAUAAAUAAACAUUAUUAAAAAUACAUCUUUCGUCAUCAUCCUCAGUCUUCGUCCGUGCGAAGGCACCUCAGCUUCCAGGAUGUAAGGACUGCAGGGAAUGGAGUUCUGCUCGUCUUCACAGGGGUCCCCUCAAGACUUUCCCUGACUUAUACGCUCGUUGGUGAGUGGACAGGCUUUAUUAUGGCCUUCUCACUCACUUACCAAGUCUCUGAAACAAUAAAAUUUGUAAUCCACAAGGUUCCUCGUCACUCCGACUGAGUCAUGCGUUUUAACCGGAUCUUGCAGGGAUUCUCUGGAUUUGCUGUAACUUGCCAGGAAUCGGCUGCUGCUGGUUUAACCCUGGAGUGAUGUAUCCACGGAGCCACCUCGGCUACUUUUAUCGCUGUAGGGGUAGACAGAAGAACAACAUAAGGACCUCUCCACUUGGGCCCUAACGGCACAUUAUUCCACUCUUUAAUCCACACUUGGUCGCCUGGGUGGUAACUAUGAAUUGGGGGAUAAAUAUUCACAGGUAAUCUAUCUUGUACCCAUUUCUGUAACUCCUCCAUAGUCUUACCCAACUCUACAACCUGCUGCCGGGUAAUUCCUUCUCCCAACUGACUCAAAUCCCCCCUUAAGUUACCAAGCACGGGAGGUGGUCGCCCGUACAUGAUUUCAAAAGGAGAGAGGCCCAUCCUUCUGGUAGGUGUACUACGGAUUCGCAAUAGAGCUAUGGGCAAGAGAACGUUCCACUUAAGUUGGGGUUCCUGACACAUUUUAGCCAACUGAUUCUUAAUAGUUCUAUUCAUUCUCUCUACCUUACCAGAACUCUGGGGUCUAUAUGCCGUAUGAAGCCUCCUUUUUAUACCAAGCAUAUGAGUCAAUUGUUGUAGGCACUGAUGAACAAAAGCUGGACCAUUGUCCGAUCCUAUAGAGCAGGGUAGUCCAUAUCGGGGUAUUAUUUCUCGUAGCAGGAAUCUCACGACUUCUCCUGCUUUCUCUGUACGAGUAGGACAUGUUUCUACCCAGCCUGAAUAGGUGCACACCACUACCAGCAGGUAGCGAUGUCCACCCGAUUUAGGCAUCACUGUAUAGUCAAUUUGUAAAUCGGACAUGGGAAGUCCCCCCAUAAACUGAACUCCUGGUGGCUUUACUGGUCCUUGUCUUGCAUUAUUUUUAGCACACGUUACACAUCUACGUACAAUGGCCUGAGUCAAGUUGGACAAUCUUGGUAUGUAGAAAUGUUUUCUGAGAGAUUCUUCUGUACUGUCUCUCCCAGAAUGUGUCCCGUUAUGAUAGUUUUGGACAAUUUCUACAGCUAGUGAUGCUGGAAUAACUAUUCUUCCAUCUUCUAACUGAUACCAUUUGUUCUCCAAAUACUUUCCAGGUUCAGUCCUUAACCACUCCUCUUCUUGAGCUGUAUAAAUUGGAGUCCAUUGAGACAGUGGAGUUGGUAUAAGAGCAGCUAUAUGCCCCACAUAUUCCUGUCUUCCUGAUUCAGCGGCACGCUUAGCUGCACUAUCUGCCAUCCGAUUCCCUUUGGUUACAUCACCAUCUCCUCUCAGAUGCGCCCGACAAUGUAUAAUACCGACUUCUUUCGGCUCCCACACUGCUUCCAAUGGUUGUAGGAUCUCAGCUGCGUAUUUGAUUUCUUUGCCUUCUGAAUUCAAUAGUCCUCUUUCUUUAUACAAAGCUCCGUGGGCAUGAGUGGUUAAAAACGCAUACUUGGAGUCCGUGUAGAUGUUCACUCUUAAGCCUUCAGCCAAUUGUAACGCUCGUGUCAGUGCUAUCAAUUCUGCCUUUUGUGCUGAUGUUCCUUUUGCCAGUGGCCGAGCUUCUAUCACCUUGUCUAUCGUUGUUACUGCAUAUCCUGCAUAGCGGAUCCCUUCUUUUACAUAACUACUGCCGUCGGUGUAAUAUUGAACAUCAGGGUUCUGGAUGGGAAAAUCACGAAGAUCUGGUCUACUUGAAAAUACUUCAUCCAUUACUUCCAAACAAUCAUGUUGACUUUCAGUAGGUUGUGGCAAAAGGGUAGCUGGAUUUAAGGUAUUUACAGUCUCUAAAUGCACUCUUGGGUUUUCACACAACAUUGCUUGAUACUUGGUCAUACGGCUGUUACUAAACCAAUGAUUUCCUUUGUAAUCCAACAACGUCUGUACUGCAUGUGGAACUCGUACAUAAAGUUCUUGACCCAGAGUGAGUUUAUCGGCUUCAGCUACUAGCAGGGCGGCUGCAGCUACGGCUCUUAGACAAGGUGGAAGUCCGCUGGCCACUGCAUCCAGUUGCUUAGACAUGUAGGCAACAGGUCUUUGCCAUGAUCCCAAGUACUGUGUCAAUACUCCCACAGCCAUUCUUCUUUGCUCAUGUACAUACAGGUAGAAUGGCCGUGUGUGGUCAGGUAGACCUAAUGCUGGGGCACUCAUCAAAGCCCUCUUCACAUCUUCGAAUGCCGUUUGCUGUUCUUGAGUCCAUAAGAAGGGGUCGUGCUCUGUACCUUUGAUAGCUGCAUACAGAGGUUUUGCCAGUAUCGCGUAGCUGGGAAUCCAUAUCCUACAGAAGCCUGCUGCCCCCAAAAAUUCUCGCACUUGUCUUCUAUUCCUGGGUAUCGGUAUUUGGCACACAGCUUCUUUUCUCUCUGGCCCCAUAAUUCUUUGACCUUCAGAGAUAUGGAAUCUCAGAUAUUUGACAGUUGGCAAACACAACUGAGCCUUCCUUCUAGACACCUUGUAUCCUGCCUUCCAGAGAAUGUGUAGUAGAUCGUGCGUUGCUUGCUGACAUACUUCCUUUGUAACUGCUGCUAUCAACAAGUCAUCUACAUAUUGUAAUAAUACACACUCUCCUGGGAUAGACUCGAAAUCUAGUAGAUCUUGACUUAGAGCUGAACCAAAUAGGGUAGGUGAAUUUUUUAAACCCCUGGGGCAAUCUUGUCCAGGUCAUUUGGCGUUUCGAGCCCGUUACAGCAUUUUCCCAUUGGAAAGCGAAGAUACAUUGGCUUUCUGCGGCAAUUUGGAGGCAAAAGAAGGCAUCUUUGAGAUCUAAGACUGUAAAGUAAGUAGCCCCGCCCGGAAUUAAAGCAAGCAGGUUAUAUGGAUUGGGCACGACUGGAUGUAUACUAACAAACGCAUCAUUGACUGCUCUCAAGUCCUGCACAGGUCGAUACUCAUCUGUACCGGGCUUUUGAACAGGCAGCAAUGGGGUGUUCCAGGGGGAAGUACAGAAUUUUAGGAUACCAUACCGUAUGAACUUAUCCAGAUAAGAUUGGAUGUUCUUCUUAGCCUUCUGCGGAAUAUGAUAUUGUCUCAGGCUUACUGGAUAAACCCCAAUUUUUAGUUCGAUUUUAAUAGGUGGAAUAUUGCGGGCCAGUCCUGGUGGGUUGUUCUCUGCCCAAACUCCUGGUAUGUUAAAUAAGGAUUCAUCACUCCUCGGGUUUUGGCUAGUCAACACUGUAUAAAGUCGCCACUCUUCUUCCUUUGGUACGGACAAUGUCAUAAUACCUGAAGGUCCAUUAAACUUUAAGGAUGUUGUUCCAUUUGGUAGGAACGUAAUCUGCGCUUGUAAUUUGGAUAGCAUAUCACGUCCAGCAAUUGGACUGGACACUNNNNNNNNNNNNNNNNNNNNNNNNNNNNNNNNNNNNNNNNNNNNNNNNNNNNNNNNNNNNNNNNNNNNNNNNNNNNNNNNNNNNNNNNNNNNNNNNNNNNUAAUAUUUUGGAAAGUAUUUCAAUAUUUUAAUAAUUUUUGACAUGUUGAUAAAUAUUUUUUUAUCAAUUUAUAUAUUUUUAGAUAUUUUAAGAUAUUGAAACAAUAAUUUUAAAAGUUCAGCCAAAAUUAUUGAAUAAUUUGAAAAUCUUAGCCAAAAAAUAUUAAACUAAGGCCAUAAUCCUGACAAUUCUUACAUUUCAUGAUUGUAUGAAUGAAUAACGAUGCUGCUCAUCUUCUGUUUAAGUAAGAAAUAUAUAUAUACUUUUAUGGAGUCACUUCGGUACCAUUAUGAAUAAAGGACUGUUUCAUGCUCUCUUCGUGAAAUUGCAUUUUGAGAGGGAGGAGUGAAGACAGGUUGCUUCAAAAAGCUAUGAGCAAUUUAUAGGUCAUUCUUUAUUUUUAAAAUUCCUAAUUUUAUUUUUUUUAAAACUCCUCUCUUACCUGGUACACGCAGACACAAUAAUUAUUGCAGUGCUGUCUGGUUAUCCUCCAAUGGUUGACUAUUUUCUACCUGUUUAAAACCAUGUAUCAAUAUAAACAUUCUCAGUAAAGGGGCAGGAAUUCAUCCUUAGUAAAUUGUACCUUAACUGCUUCCCCCCACCCAUGAUUUUCUGGGACCAAACUUUGUUUCAGUAGGUGAGAGAGAACACUUGAUGCUAGGGGGUGCUCUUUCUCACUGUAAGUGACUUACUGGCAUCGUGUUUAUAAUAGCUGGGGUUAGAACACUGAAGAUAGAAGUCACAUUGUUUAGUAAACGUUCAGAUAAACACGUAUUCAUUUAAUAUUUGUUUAUUUUCACUUCUUCCUCAAUUCCCAUCGUCUGGGAAGUUAGACAGGUACUUUAUUGUUCCCAGAGAAUUAAAUUUUUAUUUACCCUAGAAGACUGCGUGACUGCUUGUGUUUAUUUCUUUAAGUACGGUAUGACAAUCCUUGGCAUCACAAAUCGUUUUGCGUUAAUGCCCCUUGAUUGCCGUUUUAGUGAGAGCAAUGUUAGAUCCCUUCUGGCACAGUUGAGCUCUAAUUAUAACAUUUGAUACUUGGGACGAGCUAGGUCCAAAUGGGUUUCAUUAGUAUCACCAAUUUAGACGGAUUUAACGUGUGCAAAGCUCAAUGUGUAUAUAUAUAUUCAGACAUCAAUCAUGUAAAACAAAUUCCGGAAUUUUAUGAAAUUCCAUUGAAAAGCAGAUUUAAAGAACACUCUAACCAGCCUAACCUCAAAAUUCAUAUUUAAGUCCAGUCAGCCUCCUAUAUUUGAUAGCAGAGCUUCAGGAUCAGUUAUAGAGGGUGUAAAACUCAGUGCUGUCCCGGUUCCUCCAGAGUCGGUGUGUGAGGCUGUAAAAAUAAAAGAAGAUACCGGUCACUUUAGGGUGCACAGACCCUGGAUCCGUCCCUAACCAACAAUAAUAUAGAAAAAAUAAGAAUGUCCAGCACAAACCCUUAAGUCUGCAGAUCCUUUAUUAAGAUGCCAAAGAAUAAAGGUGACGUUUCGGCCACGCACGGUCUAUCUUAAACUAGAAAAGAUGUAGGUAAAUAGAUCUCUAACUGACAAAGGGGUAGAGUACCACCCUCAAUUACCUUAAUGAAGAAGUAUAACGUGCUCAUGAGAUCAGGUGAUAAAAAUUAGCAAUUCAAUUAAACCCCUUAAGGACACAUGAUGGAAAUAUUCCGUCAUGAUUCCCCUUUGUUUCUGAAGUUGUGCCCUUAAGGGGUUAAUGCUAGGUUUAAUUUGUAUUGUACCCCAAUACUAGAUUUCACAACUCUAGCCCUAAAUUCAAUCAUUCUAAACACCCUUAGUACAACUUGAACCCCUUGAGUACAACUUGAACUUGUUAAUCUUCUUGUCACCCAAUGUAAUUAAUCUCAUAAUUUAAACCCCUCUCUGCCUUAAACCACCCUUUACCAUAACCACUUUAUUAUCAGGCAAUCUGAGCGAAUCAGAACAAAUGCACAAACCGUUGUUUUAUAAAGAGACAGUGAAAUAGUAAUAUUCAGCCGUUUCCUUCCACUAAUUAAUAAUACAUUCUCAAAAAAAAAAAGAAAGAAAAGAGUAAUGCUAUACUACCAAGCCGUUAACCCAUUCACUACCAAUUUGCAAAACACAUGAUCCGCCCCGGGUGCCAAAUGCUCUAGGUACGACCUUACCACAAGUGACCAUAGGGACUGCACUCAAUUCCGACAAGAACACCAGCAAAUGCACAGUGUGCAAAUAGCAAGCAAGUUUAUUGGGACAGAACAACGUUUUGACCUAAUGCAUGGUCUUUGUCAAGCUGAUCAAGCUAAUGACUGGCUAGCCAAGACUGUUUGCAGACAUCUGUCUAGUCUUGUCUGCACUGCUGACCGUAGACAUUCAGGUAGAAAAAAAAAAAAUCAAUCAUAAUCUGUGCAUACUUUAUUAUUACCUUGAUAAAUAAACACAUUUAUAUCUCUUUCAUUUUAUAUUGCUUUCAUUCAUGUCAUGUUUAUUUUUAUCUGAUAAUCUGUCUCCCUGUGCUUGGAUCUUGAAGCAGAACCCGAGACAAAUAGCAUGCAUGUAGAGAAUGAGAGAGGAUGCAGUAAAUAAUAAGAGAAUGAGGGAGAGUUUAAUAAAUAUUGUGAGAACGAGGGAAAAUGUAAUACAUAUUGAGACAAUGUGAGAUUGUCUAAUAAAUUAUAAGGGAACAUGGGAGGCUUUAAUAAAUAUUCACACAAUGAGAGAGUGUAAUAAAUAUUGAGAGAAUUAGCUAACGCACAUACAUAACACACAAUGUAUUAACUAACAGACAGAAUUAUUAGCUAACACACAGAUAUAACUCACCCCUCAUUAGUUAACACACAGUGAUAACUAACAACUCAUUAACACACCAGAAAGUUACCACUCAUUCACUAACACCACUCAUUAGCAAAAACACUAAUGAGUUCACCACUAAUUAGAAAAAAACACUGACAUAGCUCACCACUUACAGUUUUAAAGUAUUUAUGUAAAACUCACUUUAAUGGGUUAAGUGUAUAAGUGUAGCUAUAGUGUGUAAAAUGUAUAGUGUCCAAGGAUCAUAACCUUUCUCUCCCUAUGGUCACACGCUACACAUAACUCGUACAGAUAACACACAUAUAAUGACAGCCAUCCCACACAGAGACACUGCAUACACACAGUGAUAUUUACUCCACACACAGCGAACUGACACACAGUGACAGUCAUCUCACACACUACAGCCACCAAAACAGAGUUACAGCCUCCCUACUACACACAAUGCACACAACCACUCCACAUGCACACAAUACACACAGCUGCUUCUAACACACAAUACAGCAAUGUCUCCCAACAUAAAGCCACCCCACACCCACAUAACAUAUAGCAUACCAGCACGGAGUUAAGAGCAUGGCUGAUUUAGAUGCCUUUACAUGGGGUGGUAAAGAUAAACAUGAAAGCAAGUGUCAGAGGACCCUUGCCUUACAGCUGUCUAUGUGCAGAGAUAUCAGGCUACAACCAAUAUAUUUGAUAUCUAAAAGCAAAGCUAAAAAUCCUCCUGUACGGAAUCUAUUCCAUUCAAAUGCUGUAAUUCCAAAGAUUCCCAAAACAGAAAAUUCAUUCAUGUCACACCCAACUCCACCGAACCUUUAGAUCAUGGGUCCUCAAACUCUGGCCCCCCAGAUGUUGCUGAACUACAAUUCCCAUGAUUCUUUGAAUUACAUAGAUAAUCAGAGAAUCAUGGGAGUUGUAGUUCAGCAACAUCUGGGGGGCCGGAGUUUGAGGACCCAUGCUUUAGAUGGACAACAUUUGAGAAGACAUGAAAAAUACUUGCUAGCAAAUACAAUAUUCAAAUAAGUUUUCACCAUUAUUGAAAAUAAAGCGGCCGGUAUAUUCCAAAACUAUGAUAUUUGAAAAAGGAAUAUUUAUAGAGAGGAUAAUUUUUCAAUAAAGGUGAAAACCACUUGAAAACAUUUUGGCCAAUGACCAGUGGAUGGCACAACUAACAGCAAGUCUUGUGGGAGCAGGACAAAAGGACUGACGUUACUUGUAGGCCAUGUUCAUGAAUCAUUUGUUGUCUGCAGGUUUGUCUCCCACUCAUAUUUCUCCUUUGCAUUAAGCGUGUGUGCAUACUUAGAUAAUGACAUUGCCAACACUUGAGUGGAUUAAUUGUCACAGAAACGUAAGGACGUAAUUAGCUUUUCUAUGUACCGAAAGCCUUUUACAAAUAUUGACGUAACCAUAUGAUAUUAGUUUCUGCUCAGAGCAUCCUUUUUUUUCAGUGCACUCAAUGACACCACUGAAAAACAAUAAAUAUUUGGUGACUUAAUAUUGAAUGCAGGCAAUUAGACUAAAUUAAGAAUGAAAUAUAAAUAAAAUACAUUUUAAAAAAAAAAUUAUACUAAUUCCAUUAUGAGUUGUCACAUAAAACAAUUCCACUUGUAAAUUACACUAAAACUAGAAUCUGGGGUGAAAUUCUCUCUGCCUGAGCUGACAAUAUGGUUGGAAGAUAAAUGAAUAGGUGAUGCUUAUGAUUAUGGUUACACGUCUAUUGGUUUUGCUAUUUUUUUUUUUACUCCACAAAUUAAAAUUUUACAGAUAUUUAAACUUGUCAAUCAGUAUAUCUGAUACAUGAAAAGUACAAAACGCGAAAAGGACACUUGAAUGUGUGUCACAGAAUGUAAAUUCCACGGUCUCCCAAUCAUUCUACCUUUUGUGCAUUUCCUUAGCAACUACAAUGUUUUAGAGUGUCUGACGUAUAAUGUGUUUGUUUCUUAAUAAAGAGGUCCACCGUAUUCCGUUUGUCAGGAGAACGGGGUUAAUCACAGAAAGAUAACUGUCUGGAAAUGUACAUAUUUGAAAUCUAGAUAAGAAUGUGAGUUUAUAGUUGGAUAAAAUGUUUUCCUAACACAAUUUGUCAAUGUUCAGCACACCUGAACUAUUUUUUAAAGGGAUACUCUGAGCACCAUAAUUACUACAUUAUAUUGUAGUGAUAAUGGUCAGGACCCCUGGGCCAAUCCCGUGGCCAGCUGUCAAAGCAUUUAUAAAUGGUUUGACACUUAUCUGGCUCUGUCAGUACUUUUAGUCUGUGGUGACAUGCUACAGCAGAAGUGUGUAUGCCCAUAUUAGCGUAAUGAUUCUGGACACUUUGUAAAAUGGUUUAUGUUUGUAAGUCUGAAAACAAGUUGUGCUCCCUAGUAUUCUGUCCGGUGAAUUGUGUGUAUAGACACUCUUUUUGCAGAGUAUGUGGCAUAACUAGUAGCAUAUUCAUUACCAAUCAGGGUUAUUUAGUAAAGCCGUUGGUAAAUAGCUGGUGUAAAUUUGCUGUGCCAACAGGUUAAUGGGUGGCUCUGUCUCGUAAUCCGACUCCAAUGUAGGGAUUGACAGCAGUCCAAAACUGCGUCUACCGCAUGUUUUGUUUGGGAACUUCUUUUUCGAACUUUUUCACUUAUGACAUAGCUUCACUGAUAUGACUAAAAGUAAAUUUGGAAACAAAACACCCUGCGGCAGUAUCUGAGUGAAAAAAAGGUUUAUUGUGUGAGGGGCAAAUAAGGCCGUAUAGUAGAAUACAAAGAGUAGCAUAGUAAAGGGGGAAAUAAGUCGGUUGAGGUGUGCCGGAACCAAUGUGACCCCAUAAUAAAAGAGGGCCCACCCAUGAGGUGUAAUGAAAAGUAUAGAUAGAGGGAGUGGAGGGUGGGGACAUGCGAAUCGCUAAAAGCACGUACGGGACGGAGAAAGGUGAGUAGGGGGGGUUUAAGUAGGGUAACAUGCCCCUCCAGGCCAAGCCUUUGCAUUUGUGUAAGGGGCAAAUAAGGCCGUAUAGGAAGCAUACAAAGAGUAGCAUAGUAAAGUCAGUUGAGGUGUGGCGGAACCGAUGUCGCGGUAGGCCUGUAAUAAAAGAGGGCAAAAAUAGAUUCAUGCCAGAACGAAGAGCAAUCAACAACUGAUAAGAAAGACCUUAAUUGCCUAGUGUAACGGACCGUUUUGCACAUAAGGGGUAAAAACCGUUUAGGCGAUCGUCCCCUUCCAGAGAUGCAGGCACAGCUACUGCAGAACACCAAUCCGCCGAACAGGAAACCAUACGAAUGCUGUAAACAGCCGAAUAGGAAAAACCAUACGAAUAGGUUUACACUCCUAGCAGUCGAACUGGAACAGCAUACAAUAAAUCCCCCCAAGAACGAGACAAAGCUCCGUGUUGAGGGUCAAGCAGUGAACAGACAGAGCUGUGGGUUUAUUGUGCUUAUGUACACAUUCUUACACAUUAGUACCACCCACAGGGUUUUGGAACACAACCAAUAAACACAUACAAUACACUCAGACACUCCCACACAAAUUCCUCCCCGCUGCAUGUGAUUCAAUUACCUUACACAAUGUUUAAUGUAAUUUAGCACAAGCAGAGAAAUACAAUUUUUCACAUUAUUCAUAACUUGAAAAGUAUGCAUCACAUUCACAUAAAACUUACAUUUUCAGUAUAUUCCAAAUACAAACAUAUGUCAAAAUCAUACAAAUUGGUCCAGUGGUUCAAAAGAUAGAAACAUAGAAUGUGACGGCAGAUAAGAACCAUUCGGCCCAUCUAGUCUGCCCAAUUUUCUAAAUACUUUCAUUAGUCCCUAGCCUUAUCUUAUAGUUAGGAUAGCCUUAUGCCUAUCCCACGCAUGCUUAAACUCCUUACUGUGUUAACAUCUACCACUACAGCUGGAAGGCUAUUCCAUGCCUCCACUACCCUCUCNNNNNNNNNNNNNNNNNNNNNNNNNNNNNNNNNNNNNNNNNNNNNNNNNNNNNNNNNNNNNNNNNNNNNNNNNNNNNNNNNNNNNNNNNNNNNNNNNNNNUGCCUUCUAUCUCCUGCACACAUCAGAUGUAUUUUAAUACGUCUGACGUGUACAUGGCCUUUUUACGGCCAUACAUGAUCGGAAGUCCCUCUGGUGGCCGUCUGAGUGACGGCCACUGGAGGUAUUCCUAUUAAUCAAUGUAAACACUGUAUUUUCACUGAAAAUACAGUGUUUACAUUAGAUUGCCCGUAGGGAGCUAUAAAUCUCACCUGAACAACUACAUUAAGCUGUAGUUGUUCACGUGACUAUAGUGUCCCUUUAAAUCUGAAAUUCACGUCAGUUGCAUCAAUAGACCCUGGUGACUAAGACGCACACAGUGGGGUUCAGCAGUGCUCUCUGCAUGGUCAAGUAAGUUGACACAAACAUGAUGCCAAUCUGGUUCACCCCGUCAGUGGGCAGUUCCGCCCACUUUCCAGGAAGACACGCUGAUUACGGGAUUUGGGUCACUGGACCUACCAUACUUACCUAUCCCGGUUCCAUACCUCCCAAUUUUGGGAUAUAUGCUAUGGCAUACUUUCCAAAAAAGUUUAUAAGGAACACUCUCUACUUUGGAUUGAAAUCCCUAUGUUCUAGGUCAGAGAUCCUCCUCUUACUUAGCAAGUGCAGAAAUGUAAACGUUAUAUAAUUACCAAUUCUUUGUAUUUAGCACUAGCAAUGAUUUACUAAUCAGUGUCUGAGUUGUAAGUAUAUUUCAUAAGCGCACAGAUAUAUUCACAAAUUACAACGCUUUAACAACUUCACAUUAAAAUAUGCUGUGUUGUGUUCUUUUAACACACUGUAUUGAGCAAGUGAUAUUUAUUGUAGGCAUCCAGUAUUCAUUUGUAUUUUUUUUUUUUUAAUUACUCACAACAUUCUUACUUUUAGCGAGACAGUCCAUUGUCGAGACACAAACGUGCUUGUGGUCCUGUCGGUAAAAGUCUGGACGGAUAGACUGUCAGUCAGGGUGACGCGUCCCGUCAGUGGGCAGACUUGCCCUUUUUCCAGGCAGACCUGCCCAUUAUGGGCAUCACUGGUGAUGUAAGCCAUGUCACUGGUGACAUCCCCUCAGAGCGCGGGCAUUAAUAUAAUGUAUGCAUGAUUUAAUAAAUUGUGCACUCAAUUUAAAAUAAUUUCAUUAGUUUGCUCCUCUGAGACUCUGUAUUUGUGCUAUUUAUACAGUAACCAUGUACAUUUUGAGACUGGUGCCCUAUAGAGUGUAGUAAAAAACACAUCAGGUGACAGGGCAAAGGCACUGUGUUAAUGUUUUCCUUAUUUAGCAACAGCUCUUAAACUUUGCCAUUAAUUUCCAUUUAAGUUGUUUGUUUUACAGUUACCCACAACUCCCCAGUGCUCUCAGUGCAUAUCUUAUCCACCCUUAAACCUAGACAUUAUCUCUCAGUAACAAGGAGUUUGAUUACAGAGCUCUGUGAGUUUUCGUCAGGGUAUGUAAAUAAUCAGAUGUGAAAUUAGGGGGUUCUGACAAAACAAGAAACUAUUGGGCUCCAUGACCAAAAAAAACAGAAUGCUUCUUGAAAUGUUUUGUAAAAUGUACAGGUGAGAAAUAGCCAGAGACUAGAUAAGAAAUAUUUAAUGUUAACGUUACUAACUUAUGGCGCAAAGCAGCCAUAUUGGAAGUAUAUUUGAGUAUUUUCAUUUGCCCUAACGAAGCCUGAAUUUUGCGGAUAAGUUGCCAUGUCAACAUAGUUAGUAUUUUAUUGAGUCAAGGAAAGGGGUUAAACCAGCUGUUGGAAAGAGAUUAGCUGCCGUGAAGAUUUCAUCCAAUAGACAAAAUGCGUGAGAGUUGAAUUUAAUAAAAAAAUAACACAGCAAAUGAGAUUAUCAACCUAGAAUGCAUGUGUAGGUCUCCAUUAACCAUUUCCAUUGUCUUAAGCACGGCUUGUGCUGUUGUCCAUUCAUGUAGCACAAGAACCGGGGUACACAUUUAGUACAUGCGAGUAUCGCGCAUGGUAGAGAGACACAAAAAGUUUAACAAAAAGGAAAGUACAAAUGGGGGGUGGAACAAGGAGACAAAUCAAGGUGCCCAAGAUACACCCACUUGUUGGAAAAGUCAACCGCUAUUCUUACUUGCUAUUCAUUUACUAGUUGUGUAUGGUGGCUUUACGAAUGAUAACUGUAGAUGGCUUGGCAAGUUUUCAUGGACAUAUAAAUGUGGCUCCCCAAAAAGUCAGUUUAUUACAUAUAAAAUCAUGAUAAAAGGAAUAUGCUGGAUCAUCGUACUGGCUCUCUAACAAUACUGACGACAGGAGCUGUAUAUUGUCUGUUGAACUGUUGAAGUGUGACCGAGUAAUUGCCCAGAAGGCAGUAUAUCAGGAUUGUCGAGAACAUUUCAGGGGAAACAGACCACAGAAAAUGUAACAAAACCAGCUACCUAUUCAGCGAGAUUAACUUGUGAAAGUAAUGGACAUUAAUGAUAGAAAUAGAUUGGGCCCAUUUGUGUCCACAUUUAGGGAUUGUCAUUAUAACAUGCAUCAAAAGUCCAUCAUUAUAACCAGACAAGUUAGGACUUAGAAGAAGACAGGAAUACUGAAUUUUUAUCAUUCCCUUUAACAGGGAAUACAAUCUCCAUUUCUUUUAUAUUCCCUGUUUCUUUGUAGUCUGCUUUAGUAGCAUCUGACACUAUGUCUGUGUCCAGUUUGCUGUGUUUUGAUCAUUAUUGGGGGACCAUCAUGUGGUGUUCGAUUUUUUUCUUUGUUUUCUUCCAAAUACUUAUGUGUGUGACUUUCUCCAUGAAUAGUAAUACUUGCAUUUACUGAAUGUAUAGCCCGUCAGUUGUGAUACGUACAUGGAUUACGGGACUGGUGGUUGCCCCGUUAAACAAAGUUCUGUCCUGUGCCCUUAUUUUUGAAUGCAGUGUCAUUGCUUUGUUUCUGUCCAAUUCUGUGAUAGUAGUGAGCGUGUGGGUGGAUUGAGUUGUGUAAUGACAGUAUGACACGCACAGGAUAUCAGAAAGUUGUGCUAACAGAUGUAUGCCGAAUGGACCUGGCUGCUGGCCAUGACUGCGUGUACCAGAGUACAUAUCUCUACAUAAACUGUAACAGAAUAAGGGAUUGUUUAUUUAAACCCGGUUAUCACACGCCAAUUUAAAGGGCAGGAUACUUCACGUUGGUAUUAGUAUCAGAGCUCCUACAGAUCUAGAUAAGUAUCUUUAUAGCUCUUGGCACUCUAAUCGUUUUGGACUCUGCUUCCAAUAUUGCUCAGUCAGGAAAGUCUGCAUGUGGUAUGUGUAUUUUUUGGGCUCUGUCUUGUCCCUGCAAAUGUGGAAUUAGUGGUAUGUUUGCACUGUGAAGCUUGAAUAGCAUACCUCCCAACAUUUCAAAUGUACAAACACAUGCAAUUUAAGUUUAGGGGUGUGAGUGUGGAGUGUGGCCAGGGGCGGGGCUCUACUGUGAAAGUUUAAAGUAAGACUGAAUUCGCAAAGUCCUCCAACGAUUACAUUAUCGCUGGUGGUCCAGUGACCGACGUGGGCAGGAAAAGGUGAGUUUACUUACCGUAACGUGACUCUCGCGGGCAUUGCCGACAUCACCGCUGUACUCCCACGCUUGCACAAGAGGACAGCAUUGAGGUCCAUGGGGGAUCCCACGAGACUGCAGGAUCCUCCAUACACAAAGCUAAUUCCCUGAUGACAGCUACAGGGAUUGACACUUUGCUCAAUACUUUCUCUCAGUAUUUCUCGUGACUGGGUUGGCGUUUCAGUGAAAUUCUAACACAGUCAUAAUGAGUAUUUCAUAAAGAUUCUAUCAAUAUGAAAUACUAGUUUUUCAGAGGGGAUGACAGUUCCGCUUUAAGUAAAUAAAAUGUAAUGUAGAACAAAAACAAUGUAUCUUAUUACACAGACUGAUUUCUAAAAACAUUUAUUGUAGUUUAAAGACACAUUACUGGGAGUAUUAUUGCUGUGGAGCCCUGUUAUACACUCAGACACAUUACUGGGAGUGUUAUUGCUGUGGAGCCCUGUUAUACACUCAGACACAUUACUGGGAGUGUUAUUGCUGUGGAGCCCUGUUAUACACUCAGACACAUUACUGGGAGUAUUAUUGCUGUGGAGCCCUGUUAUACACUCAGACACAUUACUGGGAGUAUUAUUGCUGUGGAGCUCUGUUAUACACUCAGACACAUUACUGGGAGUAUUAUUGCUGUGGAGCUCUGUUAUACACUCAGACACAUUACUGGGGUAUUAUUGCUGUGGAGCUCUGUUAUACACUCAGACACAUUACUGGGAGUAUUAUUGCUGUGGAGCUCUGUUAUACACUCAGACACAUUACUGGGAGUAUUAUUGCUGUGGAGCUCUGUUAUACACUCAGACCCAUUACUGGGAGUAUUAUUGCUGUGGGCUCUGUUAUACACUCAGACCCAUUACUGGGAGUAUUAUUGCUGUGGAGCUCUGUUAUACACUCAGACACAUUACUGGGAGUAUUAUUGCUGUGGAGCUCUGUUAUACACUCAGACACAUUACUGGGAGUAUUAUUGCUGUGGAGCUCUGUUUUACACUCAGACACAUUACUGGGAGUAUUAUUGCUGUGGAGCUCUGUUAUACACUCAGUCACAUUACUGGGAGUAUUAUUACUGUGGAGCUCUGUUAUACACAGACACAUUACUGGGAGUAUUAUUGCUGUGGAGCUCUGUUAUACACUCAGACACAUUACUGGGAGUAUUAUUGCUGUGGAGCUCUGUUAUACACUCAGACACAUUACUGGGAGUAUUAUUACUGUGGAGCUCUGUUUUACACUCAGACUCAUUACUGGGAGUAUUAUUACUGUGGAGAUCUGUUAUACACUCAGACACACCAACAAUUUGGAGCUCCAAGAAAAAAGGGACAUUAGGAGAGAAAAGAGGGACAGAGGGAUAGUGGCCCAAAAUAGGGGCUGCCCCUCCUAAAUAGGAACAUUUGGUGGGUAUGGUAUAGUGAUCGAUGUAUCUAAAUUGCUGGGAUAUUUUUUAUCUUUUAAUGAUAGGUCACAUGCCUGAAGAAAGAAUGUCUGAUCUCUAAAUCAAGGACAGUUUCCAACUUGAUUGUAUUCUGACUGCAUAAACCAAGGAUACAUUUCAGCAUUUAUGUGAUUAAUCAUUUAUUGGAAGUACAAUGUGCUGCUGCUAUUUAUCUAGAAUGUGCAAGGCAAACACUGUCUGCUUACUUACAACUUCAUGUGCAUAAAUACCAUAUAUUCUUUGAAUGUAAUGGGUUCAGAUGCAUGCCACAUACCUGCCACAUACCUGCCAAGACUCCCAUUUUGUAAGGACAGAUCACUCCUCUCCUUUCUACCUCUAGUUCCCAAUUAUCUAGAAAAAAAAAAAGGAAAUGAGCGUGGGGCAAAAACACAACAUGAAUUCCUUAAUCAUGCUGUACUGCUCUUCAGGGAACAGCAAAAAUCACACCGAUAAAAACAGUAUUAAAAAUAUAAAUAAACCGGGAAGACACCCCAAAGCCAAAACAUGCGAACACCUGAGGGAACCCUAGACAGGCCCAGCAAUGACACGGCUAAUGCAGUAUCCACACGCCCAAGGUAAGGGUACCCUUUACCCGCAAUACCACCAUUCCCCUGGUUAAACACGGGAAACACCGAUAGUAAUAACGGGGGUAAACACAAGCCCACCACGGACGAUGACACAUAGCUAAGGACACAGGGCCCGAUGAGACGCCGUGGACAGGGGCCAUAGGGGUGGCCUACAAACACUGACACCUAAUCAAAGACUGAUUAAUCUGGUUCAAGGACGAUUACAAAGCAUUAUGUUCACUCAGUUCAUGAAAACGUUACUUAAUUUAUAUUCCCAAACAAAUGUAAAUACCAGAAAAUGGGGACCUGAGAGUCCUUCUGUGAUGGGGCCUGCGAGCCUAAUUUGUUACCUUUUAUAAUAACAUGCAAUGGAGACCUGCGCGUCUCACCGCAAAUUUAAAUACGCAAAAUGAAUAAAAAUCAUAUUCACAAAAAAAUAUAUAAAUAAAGUUGUGCAUCAUACAUACAUGUUUUUUACAUGUACUCUAGGAUUUCGAUAUCACCAAAACAUGCCUCUCACUAGUCCAUUUAAAGGAACACUUCAGACACCAUAACCACUACUGCAUACAAGGCUUAGAUCAUUGGUGGAAAGCCAUCAGCUGACACUCUCAGACUCAGACAAUGGGCUGACCUUGCACUGCAAAGCUUAGCUCGGGAGAGCUAAUGAAAGCUCCUGGUAGUACUUUGCAGGACUCAGUACCAGAAGCCACGAAACAAGGAGCAGACCAAAGGUUAGUUGUCAAAGUCGCAAGGAAACGAUAUGACUACUUACAUUGGCGUUGUACCAGAGCACUCCAUUGGGGGUUCGCCAGUGUGAUGUAGUUGGAGUGUCCCUUUAAGUGGGAUGUGUCCGUUUUUGGGAUACCAGUUUAGUUUCCUGAUGUCCUGUAUCCGGGGACACCAAAGAACUGUCCCCAGCCAGCACAUCAUUAGAUAUACUCACUCUGUACCGAGGGCCCUGCUGAACACUUUAUAUGUUUUAUUUAAAUAAAAAACAACAAUAAAAGUAAUAACAUAUAAAGCUUCCAGCAGAAAAGUAACUUCACAAAGAUCCUUAGUAACAAUUUCUAUGAAUAAGGAUACAACAAAUGAGGCUUUUUGAUAUGUUGGAUGUGCAAGAGUUAAAUGUUACAGCAUGACAGGUGAAUUGCCUCUCGAAAAUGUAAUAAAAAAAUUAGUAUCAAGAAGAGGAUCUCACAUAUGGCAAUCAGAAAGUAUCUGCCUUAGUAAAUACUGAUUAAACCAAGUAGGGUACAAGGUUUAUUGGUGGGAAAACAUAUGUUCUUUCAGAGCCUAUUACACAACUCUGUAGUGUGCAAGUCAUCAGAAGGGGAAGAUGUCUCGUACUACAAUUUAUUUAUACAGUUAUCCAUUAACAAAUCAACUAGGAAACAUUACUGUGACAUUAAGUAUUUUGUUGAAAAUGUUUUAGAUUCAUCACUUCCUUCACAAACUAUCAGCAAGUAUUAAAGGAACACUACAGUGUCAGGAAUACAAAUUUCCAUUCCAGACACUAUAUUUCUAAAUAGCUUUUCGGACCCUCCCUUACCUCCAGUUAAAAAAGGUGAUUUACUCACCUUUAUUCCCCGCCCACGCUCCACCCCACUGACCACUGACCAGGAAGCACGUCUAGUGGCCGCCUGAGUGACAGCCACAAAAGGUGUCCAUCGGCACUAAUGCAAAUACUGCCUUUUCACUGAAAAGACAACGUUUGUAUUAAAAAGCCUUCAGAGACUGACUAAAUUCACCAGAAUAACUACAUUAAAGGACCACUAUAUUAUGGACGUAUUUCCUAUUCCUUGAUCUAUUCAAUCUUAUUUAUUCUUGUUCUUUAUCAUACAUCCCAAGUGCCACUAUUUAGGCGAGACAUUCCCUAUUUUUGGCCCAAUGUUUGGCUCAAUAUUGUUUCAAUGUCUGAGUGUAUAACAGAGCUCCACAGCAAUAAUACUCCCAGUAAUGUGUCUGAGUGUAUAACAGAGCUCCACAGCAAUAAUACUCCCAGUAAUGUAUCUGAGUGUAUAACAGAGCUCCACAGCAAUAAUACUCCCAGUAAUGUGUCUGAGUGUAUAACAGAGCUCCACAGCUCCCAGUAAUAUAUCCACAGCAAUAAUACUCCCAGUAAUGUGUCUGAGUGUAUAACAGAGCUCCACAGCAAUAAUACUCCCAGUAAUGUGUCUGAGUGUAUAACAGAGCUCCACAGCAAUAAUACUCCCAGUAAUGUGUCUGAGUGUAUAACAGAGCUCCACAGCAAUAAUACUCCCAGUAAUGUGUCUGAGUGUAUAACUGAGCUCCACAGCAAUAAUACUCCCAGUAAUGUGUCUGAGUGUAUAACAGAGCUCCACAGCAAUAAUACUCCCAGUAAUGUGUCUGAGUGUAUAACAGAGCUCCACAGCAAUAAUACUCCCAGUAAUGUGUCUGAGUGUAUAACAGAGCUCCACAGCAAUAAUACUCCCAGUAAUGUGUCUGAGUGUAUAACAGAGCUCCACAGCAAUAAUACUCCCAGUAAUGUGUCUGAGUGUAUAACAGAGCUCCACAGCAAUAAUACUCCCAGUAAUGUGUCUGAGUGUAUAACAGAGCUCCACAGCAAUAAUACUCCCAGUAAUGUGUCUGAGUGUAUAACAGAGCUCCACAGCAAUAAUACUCCCAGUAAUGUGUCUGAGUGUAUAACAGAGCUCCACAGCAAUAAUACUCCCAGUAAUGUGUCUGAGUGUAUAACAGAGCUCCACAGCAAUAAUACUCCCAGUAAUGUGUCUGAGUGUAUAACAGAACUCCACAGCAAUAAUACUCCCAGUAAUGUGUCUGAGUGUAUAACAGAGCUCCCCAGCAAUAAUACACCCAGCAAUGUGUCUGAGUGUAUAACAGAGCUCCCCACAAUAAUACUCCCAGUAAUGUGUCUGAAUGUAUAACAGAGCUCCACAGUAAUAAUACUCCCAGUAAUGUGUCUGAGUGUAUAACAGCUCCACACAGCAAUAAUACUCCCAGUAAUGUGUCUGAGUGUAUAACAGUGAUGUGUCUCCACGCAAUAAUACUCCCAGUAAUGUGUCUGAUAACAGAGCUCCACAGUAAUAACAGUGUGCUCCACAGCAAUAAUACUCCCAGUAAUGUGCCUCAGUGUAUCACAGAGCUCCACAGCAAUAAUACUCCCAGUAAUGUGUCUGAAUGUAUAACAGAGCUCCACGGCAAUAACAUUCCCAGUAAUGUGUCUGAGUGUAUAACAGAGCUCCACAGUAAUAAUACUCCCAGUAACGUGUCUGACUGUAUAACAGAGCUCCACAGCAAUAAUACUUCCAGUAAUGUGUCUGACUGUAUAACAUAGCUCCCCAGGAAUAAUACUCCCAGUAAUGUGUCUGAGUGUAUAACAGAACUCCACAGCAAUAAUACUCCCAGUAAUGUGGUUGAGUGUAUAACAGAGCUCCACAGCAAUAAUACUCCCAGUAAUGUGUCUGAGUGUAUAACAGAGCUCCACAGCAAUAAUACUCCCUGUAUCGUGUCUGACCGUAUAACAGAGCUCCACAGCAAUAAUACUCCCAGUAAUGUGUCUUUAAACUGCAAUAAAUGUGAUUAGAACUCAGUCUGUGUAAAUGUGUCUGUAAAUAUAUAUAUACACACACACAUAAUUGGCACAAACUUAGCAAACAUAGGUGCCAAAUAUCCUAAUUUAGCAAUGAGAGUCCCUCAUUUUGGUGUACUGUCCCCGCAAAAAUAGGUCCCUGGGACCUGUCUGGCAUUUUGAUAUCUGCUAGCAGGGGGGGAUAGGGCACUUGGAGCAUGCACAGAGUAAUUCAGUAGCUCUCGGUACACAAGGCCUGUUUGAGGAGCAGGCUGUCUGUCAGUGAUAGGCAGGUUUGCCCAUUUGAUGUCCCACCCUUGCUCUGUGCAGCCUGCUUUUUUCUCUACCAACCUCCUUCCCAGAAGGUGAGCCGAGAGUGUACGGUACAAAUAAAUCCUAAAUGGAUCACUUUGGUCACAGCUGUUGCAGUAGUGCGGUUUCUGAAAGUAAUAAUGCUGCAUAUGUGUAGAUGUUAAAAGGCUUUAUUCACAUACCAGGAACUGAUCAAUAACUAAGAAUUAAUGAGAAAUUUCAGAUUUUAGCACAAACUAGCUGAGCUACAAAAUAUCUGAAAAAAGAAAGAUUUCGGCACACAGUUUGAGUUACCCGGAUCAGUUUCGGAUAAUUCUUCAAUUACUGAAUCAACUCUUAAGUAUGGUGUAAUCACAGUUCUCCCCUCAGCAAUACUUCCCCCAUGGUCCCCCUGGGACACUUCCUACAUAAAGCAGGAUUGCCAGAGCUGACCAAUAUAUUACUCAUUACUUUAACCUUUUAGACAUCUCACGAUGAGCUUUAAAACCUUCGAACCUCGCUGUCACAUUAUUCUAUUAUUCUUAUGGGCUCUGAUAUAAUCAUAAUCCUUCCUUCCCCCUAGUCUCAAAGGAUUAGAUUUUUUUUUAGAUUUAUGCUUGUUUCGGAAAUUGGUAAAAAAAAAAAUCGAAUUAAAUCUUUUUAGUUGCAAAUGCAAUGUAUAAUGUUGGUGUUUAUGAUACUGGUGCUGGAGAGAAACUGUAGCAUGAGAGAGUCUUGUGUUACCAAAUAACAGGUCACCAGAGGGGAAAAAACAACUGAAGAGUAGCAUAGCAGACUACAAUAAGGACUGUCCCUGCAAACUGGAGACUGUUGGCAAGUAUGUGACCAGACAGACAGCUUAGACACUAUAAGCAAUAUAACGUCUAUGGCAACAUUGUAGUGGCUAUGGUGCUAGGAUACUGUGGUAGCUCUCCCCAGUUCCCCAGGCUCCUAGAGCCAAGCCCAUCACUCAGCAUAUUACAUUAGCAAUGUCAGAUUUGGAAGGCCUGUUCUAUACCGCUUGCAUCCAAAGGGUGUACGCAGAUAUUGUAUAUGAACUAUUAGCAAAUAAUUGUUUCAGAUUAUUCAGGUUUGAAACAAAUCCAGUUUUAAUUUAUCCAGAGAGAAUUGUGCAGCGGUUAGUGCCCAAAGGCUUUAUAGCAAGGUGCUGUAUGUAAAAAUAGACAUAAGGCACAACUGGGUGAGUAAUUAACAGGUAUAAAACCUUCGGUAGCUCGGCUCUGUGGUACCUUUUUGCCAUUGCUGGGUAUUAAGGCCUAGGUCGCUUACUAACUUAACAUGGGAACUAAUCGGCAGCUUAUGGAGCCAGUGGUGAAGGAUUACAUAAACUUAUAGGGAACACUUAGAACUCUUGCUGACUGCAACAGGUAAAUAUAGAGGAAACAUAUUCAGCUGCAGCAGUAUCAAGAAGGUAGGGCAGCUGUUUUCGGAACCUCUCCUCUGGGCACAAAGGGGGUAACUUCUGGGACAGUCAAAGAAGGACGAGCUGUCUCCUGUGCCAUCAGGGCUGGUAGGCCAAGUGACUGAAGGAAAGCUGGUAUUUCAGUGGCGUGUCAUAGUUGGUAUGUCUUGCCAGCCUUGUCCGCAUGUAGUCGUGUGGGCCCCUCUUGUAGGGGAUGGCUUGCUCACAGAGUAGCUGACUAACCUGCCGGAAGGACUUCCUCCACAUUAGGGUGUGUCUUGAGAAAUCUCUGUAGAAUGCCAGUUGCGCCCAUUCAAACGGCAUUGUGGUAGAGCCUCUUGUGGUCCCCAUGAGUAUUCCCUGAUCAUUAGUCUAACUAAUUUAAGCACAACAUCACAAGCUCCUUCUAGGGGUGCUGUAGUUGCCCUGGUGAGUCUGAAGCAAGAGUCAAUCAUCACCUGCUUGGCUUGCCACGUUAUCAAUAAGGUGGCUAUGAGCCUCUGGCAGUAGUGUGGCAGUUCAGUGCUUGAGAUUGUUUCAGGCAUGCCUCGGACUCUCAGGUUCCGUGCCUUGGUCCUGUCUUCCAUGCUGGCCAGUUGUGCUUGCUGGUCGGCACAUUGCUUUCGUAAGGAGCUCAGUGCAGCGUCAGUAGCAUUUUACGCUAGUCUGGUACCCCCAUGCCUUCCUCUACGAGAGGCACACCCAGUUGGUGAGUGUGGCAACGUCCUCCCGCACCAGUGCCAUGGUCCGCUUGGAACAUGGACUUAAUGUCCUGCAUCAGAGCCUUAAUAUCGACCCUGGUGGAGGGUGCAGAGUCUCCCAUGUCCACAGGGCCCAUGGGUGUCUGUCGUGCCCGGUUCUGUGUUCCAGGCUCGACAUAAGUACUGUCCUCGUCCGAGGACAGCAAGGUAUAGGCCUCAGGUGCCAUCUUGGGGAUUUCAUGCCGCGAGACUGCGCGCUGCUAUUUAAUCUUUUUCCCCAUGGUGCAGGGAGCCCGGUAGUCUUCUUCGGUGCCCAGUGGGGCAAUGGCUAAGGAUGGAUAAUUCCAGGUUAAUGCUAGGAGCUGCUGCAAUGUGCGUCUGAUUUCUCGGUCGCUGGCUCCACCCUUUUAGCUUUUUUUUUUUAAAAACGAACUGCUCAAUUUUCUUCUAGAUGUAUAUUAAAGCAGCACUGUCACUGUAAAGCGAAACGGAGCAUAAUUUGCAAAGACCCCUGACGGUGACAUCGCAUCUAGUGGCUGGAGGGGCUGGGAAAGGUAAGAUUUACUCACGCGAACCUGUUCCUCGUAGGCACCGUCAUUUUCUUCUAACCGGUCCUCUUCUGUUCCUGGUGCUUCAGUGUGUCAGGGUAGGAUAAAUACUGCUCAAAGUAAGUCCCUACUUUGUCUCAGUAGAUCUUUUAACUGGGUUGAAAUUCAGUGAAAUUGCAACACAGUUAGUAUAAAGAUUUUAUCUUUCUGAAAUACUCAGUUUGGGUGGAUCCUGGAAAGUGACUGUUCCUCAUUAAAGGGACACUAUAGGCACCAAAAGAACUUUAAACAGACUUAUGAGAGCUCCUAUAGUAAAAAUUCACUAUAAUAAAAAUUAAAUUGAUAUAAUAAAUAUAUCUUUAAUGAAUAAAAUACACGGACCAUAUACAGAUCAACCUCUAAAAGGACAAUAUAAUACUGGUAGUAUAUGGUACAGAUCUACAUAGAACAUCUAAGGCCAUAAUGCUGCAUGACACAACUACAGCCACAGUGUAACAAGUACAGAAAUGUAACAAUAAAUGAAACUGUGUCCAAACUUAAAUAGGGAAAACAGACACAAAUUCCACAAUAUGCAAAGCAAAUAAGCCUUAGUCAAAAUGUAUACCAGCAGUAGGCAAACUUCGAUACUCCAGAUGUUGUGGCCUACAUCUCUCAUAAUGCGCCUACAGCCAUCAUGCUGGCAAAGCAUCAAUGGGGGAUGAAGUCCACAACAUCUGGAGUGACAAAGGUCACCAACCAAUGCUGUGUACUCUAAUACUGCUUCUUUAAACUAAAGUUGUUUUGGUGCUUAGUGUAUCUCUUUAAGGGAAGUGACCAUUCCCGAGCCCAAAGGUCCAGCUGCUGUGUUUUUGUAGCCACCCGGCUUCUCAUCGACACCUUUCAUGUGCCUUGGAUGUUUCUUUAAUGUAGUGGAUUGACAGAAAGUAUUUAUGGGAUUUAAGAUAAAGAUCAUUAAUCUGCUGGACUUGUUGUGCAAAUGCUAUUGCAAAUAGUAGUUAAUUAUAAUAAUAACAACUAUAUACUUGAGUAGAAUGUUUGAAUUAAAAGCUUAACACAAUUGAAAAGGAUAUUUUUUCCAUUUUAGAUGUUGUAAUUUUCUGGUUUCUAAUUACCUUGUUAUGUGCAUUCCAAAAAUCUCUUUAUCUGUACAUUGCUUAAUAGUCACAAAGUUCACAUUUUUGUUGUGUUGGCUUUGAUAAAAUGAAGAUCUAAUGCGGUGACAGUGAUGUCGCUUUGCUAAUUUGUAUGUUUUCCGUGUUGUAGAUAAAUUAGGUUACUGAUAACAGCUGAGAUAGCAGUGCUCCGAGACAUUAUCGUAAAAUCAUAAACAAUUGCCUUUUUAGAAUAAAGAGUUAAACAUUAUUAAUUUACAGUAUGGAACGUUGUAAUUUAAAAAAACCUGUAAAUCCGCAAAAUCAACAAAUCAGCAUUACUGCAGAAUGUGUUGGCUCAUAACAAAUAAUACCGAUAAUUACAAAUGUGAAGAGAAAUGGAAAACGCAGCAGGUCUCAGCAGGUUGCUACAUUGAUAUUGCUGCCAACACCCCGUGGUAAUUCACAGAUCUUUCAUGGCCGCGAGAGAGGGGCCAAUGGGCGCUUGUUGCCCGCAUGCGGUGUGUGCUCACAUCAGAUUUCCAAUAUGCAUAAAAUUAAAAUUAGCCACCCAAAAUCUGCGCUGGCUAAUGACGCUCCAAUUACGCUGACAGAGGUGGAAUUACUACUUCCUGCAGCAGAGAGCUUAAACUCUGUAUGUGCAAAGUUUCAUAAUGAAACAUUGUCCAUACAGACUCCAGGCACCAUCACCACUUCAAAACACUGAAGUAAUCAUGGUGCUUGCAAUAACGCUGUAAUAUAUCUAUCUUCCACUGUUAUGAGAUGUAUUCCUCUUUUAUAAAAGUUAAAUCUAGUGUGUAUCAGAAUAACAAUUUUUUUUUUAAUGUGAUGACUUUAAAUAUUGCUUUUCCUCAUUCCAUUUUACUUAUUUUAUCGUCUUUGUUGUUUUAGGUAGACUUUGAAGUAGCAGAAGCAUGAAUUCGUCAGAAGAUUCGCCAAACUCAACGUACAAAUGUGUAUUCGAUGAAGACUUUAAAUACAUUCUCUUACCUGUGUCAUAUGGUAUAGUUUUUGGCGUAGGACUGAUCCUCAAUGUUACAGCACUUUACAUAUUUUUAUUCCGGAUAAAACCAUGGAACGCCAUAACAACAUACAUGUUCAACUUGGCCGUAUCAGAUAUGCUCUACGUUGUAUCCCUGCCAUUACUUGUAUAUUAUUAUUCUCAAGGUGACAACUGGCCGUUCAGUGUGGUCUUGUGCAAAAUAGUCAAAUUCCUUUUCUAUACCAACAUGUACUGUAGCAUCUUCUUCCUUCUCUGCAUCAGCAUUCACCGCUUUCUUGGAAUUUGUUAUCCAAUGAGGUCCCUUGGUUUGCUGAAGGUGCGCAACGCACGGAUCACAUCUGUUGUUGUAUGGUUAAUUGUCAUUGCUUUUCAGUCUCCAAUAUUGUAUUUUGUGACUACCAGUACCAACGGCGACAACACCAUCUGCCAUGACACUUCAAGUUCAGACCUGUUUGAUACAUUUGUGACGUACAGCACGGUCAACCUUGCUUUGCUCUUUUGCGUUCCAUUUGUUACGAUCUUGGUGUGUUAUAGCUUAAUGACCAUAGCUCUUUUGAAGCCGUCAGCAGUCAGUUCUCAAACUUCAAACACCAAGAAAAAAUCAAUCAAAAUGAUUAUUAUUGUGCUCAUCGUCUUCAGCGUGUGUUUCUUACCUUUCCACGUUAACCGGACUCUUUACUAUUACUUUCGAAAGUUGGAUCUUGACUGUGAUGUCUUAAAUGCUAUCAACAUGGCCUACAAAGUGACUAGACCUCUGGCCUGUGCCAACAGCUGUAUCGAUCCGAUAUUGUACUUUCUUUCUGGCCAAAAUGUUCGAAGGAAUAUUAUGGGCAGGAGUGGAAUAAAUAAAAUUAAAAGCAAAAUUUCAACAUAUGUGCGUGAUACGAACUGGUCUACAAUAAAUGGUGCAAACAAUACGGACAGCACACCAAGCCCAAGCCCAAGCCCAACAGUAAUGACCAGGAUGUGAAUUAUUUAUUUUGAAGCUGAGUAAAUUAUACCAACUACUGAAAAAGAUGACGAGUUGUGUCUUUUAAUGGGACAUGUACCAAUUUUUACUUAGAUGGCAACAAUGGAAACAAACUGUUGAGACCAGUGAGAUCUGCGUGUAGCCUCAUUCAUCUUAAAAUUGCAAAAUACAUGAAGACAGUUUUAUAUCCUCUGCAAAGACACAAUAAUAUAAUACUUGUAAGAGGAGGCCCUCACUUCAAAUGUGUUUUUCUACAGAGUUGCUCGAAUAUCUAACUGACAAAAAUGAUGUUAAAAUAUAUUAUGAGCCAAUUCAUUGUUUAUUAAAACUAUGCAUUUCGUCUACUAUCUGCACUUUUUAUGAAUGUUACAUAUUGUAUGCAAAUACCCUAAAAAUAAAUUAGAAUUUCAAGGCGUGCUAAAAUCUCAUAACUGAAUUACAGGUGGUAUUAUAGGCAUAGCCCUUAGAGAUACACACUGCAAGUCUCAUUGUUUUGCAAAUAACUCUGGCUUGAGAUUUCUGAAUGAAUGGAGCAAGGAUAGACUAAUCACUGACGUAGAGGUUCUACAUGUCCGCAAGGCUCAAACUUGUUCAGGCGCCCUAUCAUGCCGUUUCAUGUAUAAUAAUUUGAAUGUAAAUUUUUUGCACUUAUAUGGACGGUCACCAUCGAGUUACAUUUCAGAUUAAUUUUGGAACGUAAAACAUUUGCGGAAUUAUCUAAAUUGAAGACUUAAUUAUUUGUUGAGUUUUCAUUCUUUUUUAUAGAAUAUUUUUGAUAAAGUAAGAAACGGUGGAUUUUUUUAACAUGUUUAAUGCGAGGAAUAUGACAUGUUGAGGUUUACAUUUGUUUAACUGUAAGUUUAAAGUCUGAUUUUAUAGAUCUUUUUGAUUUCAUAGAUUUCAGUGUUGAGCAAAUCUAAGACAAGAGAAAAAGGCAAAUGUAUACCCUUUUCUGUUAUUUCAUAAUUGAACUAAUUUUGACUUUUGUAGACAUGACAGCACAGAGCUUGAAUGUUCCAGUUCUUAUUGAUAUCAAAUUGUCCUGCAGUUUUGACCACCUACCUCAAGUGGAGUAGUAUUCAUGGUGGACUCACUCCUUUUAACAAAGCAAUUGUAAAAUAUAGGCUUAAAGUUUUAAAAAUUAGCACAUUACAGCGAUGGAACCUUCAGACUAUUAUUGAUUGUCUAUCACCUAUAAUCAGUAGAAGUUUAAAUGUCAGUGGGAGUUUAUGGUUUAGAUUCUUGAAGUUCUAGAUCGGUGGGGAGUUAUAGCUUGGUAAGAGCUAAUCUGUUUAUAUGAUAGUCCCACAAUCUUUUGCAUAUAUAUAUAUCAAAACAGAAAAAAGCAUGUAGAAAUAAUUAGAAAGACCUCUCCUCCAUACCGUGUAAUUUAUUUAAAUAGUCAUUAUAUGGCAAAAAUGGAAUGGUGUCAGUUGAUAUAUGUUGUUAUUACUUUUUUUUUUUAAAUGUUGAUGGUCUCCUCUUUAUAAUCAGAUAACUUGGCAAUCUGGCCUUAUUUCCUAUGGUUAACUAACUAGGAGAUCUGAUGUAAAUCUACAAAUUUUUUGUGAUGUAUUUGGGUUAUGUUAUAAAUUCUGUAUUUCUGCACUUAUGACAUGGUCCCAUCAGUGGGCAUUGUCAAUACUGACUACACACUGAUGUUGACAUCAUUGAUCUUAACAAAGACACAUGCUAUAUCACUGAUCAUAGGUUCCUGGUCUAAUCCGAAUCACUGCCACCAUUGUCAUAAAUUUCCAAUCCUUCACUGGCUGGCAUGAUGAUUACAGUCAAUGGGUAAAAGAGUCCAGAGAGGAUUAUUUUGUUUGUUGUACAUAGCCGAAAAUCCUCUAUUUCUCAAUAGACUCUUGGUUGGCCAUCUUGAAAAGUAUACUGCUCGGUCUGUGAGCAAUGCUGCCUUUAAGCAGUAGUCAGUGACAACCUACCUCCAUUUCAUUAAAUUUUAACGAAGUCUGGAUGACACAGAGCACAUUGUCUAGUGCUGGUUCCUAAUCUAGACCUAAAAGAUUUAAUGAUAACCAGUUCCAAUAUUUUCCACAUCCAUAGCAGAAAAUGUAUCAAUGUACCCACACAUAUGCACGCAUCCAUACAUACCUAUGUAAAAGAGAGAUAUGCACCCUUUCCUCAUGGGUCUAUCAAUGUUUGCAUUGGAGUUUAUGUGUCUAUAUGUAUUUAAACACAAGCUUAUAUGCAUAGAAUAUACAGGCAUAUACAUAUAUGUAUCCUGUUAAUGUCAUAUUGUAAAGAAUUGUAUAGAAAUGUAUUAUAUUUAGUAAAUAUUCAUAUUUCAUAGAGCUACUUGUGUAGUGGAUGC
rnacentral:lncRNA from 1 species